rnacentral:lncRNA from 1 species
AGCUUCGCAACCAAUGCCCCUUCCUUUGGCAAUAUAAACAUAUGGACCCUUUGAUAAUGGUACACGGGACUAUCACAAACUUAGCCUUUCUCUUUACCAUUUGGUCAACCGAGUUGACUAUGGCCGACCCAUUUCCACUGGGAAAAGAGAGCUUUACUAGAUAUCCAAUGCCAUCAUUGUCGAUAUCCAUAAAGUUUUAGGAAGAUGAUCUUAGCAAAUGGAUAAGAUCCUUAAGGGUCUUGUCUUAGUCUGUUUCAUAGGAGUCCCAAAGGAACUCACUAUGUGACUUAGAAAGUAGUUGAACCACCAACUUUCUCAAGACUUUGACACCCAACUCUCCCGGCUUGUCAAUAUGUGACUACAUCUCCAAGAUGUGAUCACACCUAGACCUUGCCUUGCCAAUAGGGCUUGAGUGACCUUAAACUUUUCAAGAACUUGUGGGUUAGGGAGAAUAAUUGGAGGAGGUGAAAGAAGUAUGAUUUCCAAAGGACAUCAUCUUCAUUUAGGAAACCUUGUUUCAAGAGAUUUGGGAAGAUCAUAAAUGUCUAAACCAGACAUCUUUUGGUAGCUAUUCAAGAUAGUUGAUCUAAAGUCCUUACUAUGACACCCAAUAAGAAAUAUUAAGGCUAGGACCCAACAAACUAUUUUAUAACUUAGAAGAGGUAUGCCGUAAUCCAAGCUAUAAAAUAUUUGAAGGUAGGUGAAUGAUGAUUCACCAAUUUCCACCAAGAUAAACGAAAUGUAUUAUUAGGUUUUAAUUGGUUUUGAAACUCCUAGAUCUUUGAGAUUCAUUGAACUGUUCAAAGGCAUGUUUCAAUCUCGAGUGUGCCCUUCAGGUUUUGUGACUGGGAUGCCGAGGAUCACAAAACAAGGUGUGAAGUAACCAUGCAAAUCACUUGGUACCCUUAAUAAAUUACCCCUCAAUCGAUGUGCCGGUUAACCACACACGCUCCAUCGAUACUAUGAUAAAUAUUAAGUCACCCUUUACCUACCUUGUUAAGUCCAAGUUAGUGUGCCGGUUAACCACACACGCUCCACUAACGACUUAGACAAAGUGUAAAGUGUAAUUUCAUGGAUUAGCACCUUAUUCACAUUUUUCCUAAGUAACUAAGAUUGGGUAUUAUUAAGAGUUUAGUUACUUAGUAUUAUCAUUAAUACUUUUAAUGAAGGGAGAAUUCUAGUCCUGUCAAACCCGUUCGGCUAACGACCCUCCACCAGUCAAGCAAGCGGUGGGUGAGAGUGGACACCCAUUAAGUUGCCAUUUUAUAGGCAACAACCUUAUACCCACCUUAUAGACCGGCUUCGUGAAUGAGGCGUACUAGCGGUAAGACUGACUUUACUCUUAUACAUAUAUAUAUUAUUAACUUAUAAUAUUAUAAAGUAUAAGGGUUGAAUUUUAACUUUUAAAAUUCUAAGGGCUAACUUGGAAUUAAAGUAUUCAUAAGUGAAAACUUUACAAAUUCCAAAACUUGAGGGCAAGUUUUGAAACUAUUCAAAACUAAUUAAUUCCAUAACUUAUGUGUUUAAAGUAGUUUUAAUCCAAAAACUCUUCAAGUUCCAUAACUUGAGGACAAGUUAUGGAAGACUUUAAACUAAUAAAAGAAUUAACUUUUCUUUAUUUUAUAACUUAUGGAAUUAAUUAAGGUUUUACUUUUUUUUUUAUUUAUUAUUUAAUGAAGAGACUCUUGGUCCUCCAUAACUUGAGGACAAGUUAUGGAGUCAUAAAACCAUUUAAUUAGAACUAGACUCUUCAAUUUUGUAACCUUUGCCAACUUUUAUGAGUUUUAUGAAACUUAAAUGUGACUUUUCAUAUAACUUGAGGACAAGUUACAAAAACACAUUUUAGAAUCAACUCUUAGAUUAAUUUGGAUUGAAAACAACUAUUUCACUCAACUUUUCUAUUAAUCUAAGCAACUCAUAAGAACAAGAUAAUUCAAAUCAAACUUUUUCAUGUAAUUAGUCUAAACCUUAAACUAAUACAACACAUGAAUCUAUUGACAAUUAUCUUUGAAAUUGGAUUAGCAUGAACAUUACCAGAUCAAAAACAGGUUUAUAAGUUCAAAAACAACUUAGGGUAACGUUCCUAGUCCAUUUCUAGCCAAAAACCUCGAAAAUAUGUUGUUUGGGGCUCCUACUCGUCGAGUGCAUGAACCUACUCGACGAGUAGGAUGAUUUUACUCAUGGACUCGGCGAGUCCAGUGCCCAGAAAGCCAGAAAAAUGAGUUUUUUUUAGCAUUUUUCAGCAAUUUGCAUCAAAUAUAAUUGAAAACAAGCCUAGUCUCUGAUACCACUGUUGGGUUUUGAGCAUUCUAACACUCCUAAGUGUACAUGCAACCCUAAAUACCUUGGAUCAAUGUUUUCUCUAUUAUACAUGCAAAUAUGAACAUCCAAGGUAUUAUCCUAAUCUAGCAUAUACAACAAUGAAUGUAACAAGAUAGAAUACAUACCUCUUUGCUGUAGAAAGUCUUCAUGAAGCUUGAGUGCCUAGUGCCCCAAGUGUGACACCAAAAAUAGUUCACACAACACCAAAUUCACUUGGAAUAACUUGAGAGAAUUCUACCCUUCAUGACAAUCGGCUAGCCCUCUCUAGAAUGAUACUAGUGCCGAUUUUGGUCAAGAAUAAGAUGCAUAUAUAGUCAGGGUUACACCAUGUAAGCCCUAAUUGACAUGGCCUUUCAUUUCCAUGAUCCAUGGGUACAAAACACCAUGGAGCAUCAUAUGGGUUUUAGCCUAACUAGAUAAUCCAUGGAGCAUUAGCCCACUAUAUCAGUAUGGAUCAUUUGCACAAUCAACUCAUAUAUUUAAUUAGUCUUCUUUUGAUCACUUAAUUAAUCCUAGAUUAAUUCUUGAUCAAUACUAAUUAAAUAAUCUUAUUAUUCUUAUUAUUAAUAUACUAGAACUUAUAAUAUAUUAAUAACCAUAAGUGUCUUAUUUCUCUCAUUAUAGUCUAUCCAAGUGCAUGAUGCCAUGCAACCCAAAUGGACCAUGCCGGGUCGGGUCAAGUCUUACCAAUUAUAGUUAUGGACUUAGACANAUCACAUACACAUAUCAUGCUAGCAUAUAACAUAUCAGGUAGUAGCUAUCCUAGAUGAUAUCACAAAGACCAUCAUAUAUCAUACGAACCCUACUGGUGGGCCGACAUUGUGGCCAUAGGCCCACCGCUACUGGAAGGUAACUCACCUCAUAGCAGCUGCUAAACUGUGUGGGAAUCCUCUGACUGCUGCCACUGCUGCUCCAGAAAUCCUUCAGCUAUAAUUCCCACAAAACACUUAGCCAAAAACUGACAUCUACUCUUAGGGUAAAAUGAGCAUUUUACCCCUGACCAAGUUAAAGUCAAAGUCAACAUCCAGUUGACCUGACUCGUCGAGUUGGAUCGCCAACUCACCGAGUCCCUAUCCUUCCAUUAGACCUCAUACCCGACUCUACUCGACGAGUUAGGCGAUGACUCGAUGAGUUUUCCUUCUAAAUGAACACCGACUGAAUCCUCAUCCGACUCGCCUAGUUUUAUGAACAACUCGUCGAGUCCAUCAUCAACUGAUACUCAUGUCCUUCCCUUAACUCGCCGAGUUAUAUGAAAAACUUGUCGAGUUACUCUACAUCCGAUGAACAUGUUCUGUCCUCGACUCGCCGAGUUGAUGAACAACUUGUCGAGUUCUAUGAAGAUUGCCUUCGACUCGCCGAGUCUGUUCAUGCACUAGCUGAGUACCAUGAAUUUCUAGAACAAUUUGCUUAGUUCAGAACGUUGGGUCACUCCCCGGGACUCUCUAAAACCUCUCCACACUCAUCUGGUCUUUUUGACCCUCACUGAUAUGGGACAGAACCCUUGGACUCGCCGAGUCCAGGAAUGGACUCGCUGAGUCGGUCACAUCCCCUCCUUCAAACUUUGAUUUCUGAUGUACAACACUUGACCAAGAGAUAGAUCCAGGCCCCUAGACUCGUUCUAGCAUGUAAAGUUACAAACUUUACGUGCAUGCAUGGGAAUUUUGAGCUUAAAAGGCUCUAAAAUGGUUCUUUUGUUGCAUGGGGCCUUCCUGGAGUGCAAAAGCAACCCAAAUCUGCCUUGUGACUCCAAUAAUGACAUGAUCCAGAAGCUCAAACCCCCAACCAUGUUUGCAAACAUGGUUGGCCACCAAAAAUAGCUUAUAAAAGCCCUUAAUCACCCCAAAGAGGGAUCUAACAAAUGAAUGAGCAAGGUUCAGACUUUAUAUCUUCUGUAGACUGCAAAUGGAGAACCAAACUCGAAUCCUUCAGUCUCCUCUUGAUACUUCUAUGCUCUUCCUUCUUCCUUGAGGUCAAAACUCACAAGAAUCACUCAAAAGACUUGGAUUUUCUCAAAACGGCUAAGGUUUGCUAUGAGAAGUGUUUGGGAGCAUAAAGGGGGAGUGGAGGCUACAUAAGGUCGUUUAAAUAAGGUGCAAACCCUUGGAUUAGGGUUUUUGUCCAGACGGCGACGACUCGCUAAGUUCGGGACCCGACUCGCCGAGUCCGCAACUUAAGCUUCGUGCCUCAUCGCGCUUCUACUCGGCGAGUCAGUCCUUCGACUCACCGAGUCCAAGGAUAAAAAUGAAAAAAUAAAAGAAGAUUUAAUAACAGAAUACGUACCAAGAACCAGGUGCUACAAAUCUCCCCCACUUAUUUUAGACUUCGUCCUCGAAGUCUGCUGCUUGAUCCGGAAACAGCUCGGGGUAGUGCUCCAUCAUCUCAUCCAUCGACUCCCAAGUCCACUCCGACCCUUUACGGUGCUGCCAUUGCACCUUCACGAGUUCUACUCUUUUGUUCCUCAGAACCUUCGACUUCCGGUCAAGGAUUGCUACAGGCCGCUCGAUGUAAUUCAGGCUGCCAUCAACCUGAAUGUCCUCCAAGGGUACUACCGCUGUGUCGUCCACCAAGCACUUCCGCAGCUGAGAGACGUGGAAAGUGUUGUGGAUCUGAUUGAGUUCGGCUGGCAGAUCCAGCCGGUACACCACCUUGCCCACCCGGGCUACAACCUUGAAGGGUCCAAUGUACCUGGGGCCCAACUUGCCCCNNNNNNNNNNNNNNNNNNGAAUGACGCCUUUCCAAGGCGACACCUUCAGGAGACCCAUAUCUCCGACUUGGAAUUCCAGGACUGGUCGGCGCUUGUCGGGAUAUCUUUUCUGCCGACUCUGAGCAGUCUAAAUCCUGCUCCGGACCUGCUGAAUCUUUUCUGUCGUCUUGAGCACUACUUCGGUGCUCCCCAUGACUCUCUGGCCAACCUCGCCCCAGCAUAUCGGGGUCCUGCACCUCCUCCCAUACAACAUUUCGAAAGGAGGACGGUCGAUGCUCGCAUGAUAGCUAUUAUUAUACGAGAACUCCGCCAACGGAAGGUAGGUAUCCUAGCUACCUCCAAAGUCUAAAACACAAGCCCGCAGCAUGUCCUUCAGAGUCUGGAUGGUCCGCUCGCUCUGGCCAUCUGUUUGCGGGUGAAAGGCGGUGCUGAAAUGCAGACGAGUACCCAACUCGUCGUGGAAUUUCUUCCAAAACCUGGAUGUGAACCGUACAUCCCUAUCUGAAAUCACUGAAACUGGCACUCCAUGUCGGGCCACCACCUCUCUGAUAUAGAUAUCGGCCAAUUUCUCGGCCGAGAUGCUCUCCUGAAUAUGGAUAAAGUGGGUGCUCUUGGUCAGUCGAUCCACGAUGACCCAUAUCGAAACCAUUCCCCGUGCGGUCCUGGGAAGCUUCAUGAUAAAAUCCAUCGUAAUAUCCUCCCAUUUCCACAGCGGGAUAUCCAACGGAUGCAUCUUGCCGUGAGGUCUCUGAUGCUCGACCUUGACCUUCCUGCAGGUCAAGCACUGCUCCACGUACCAUGCCACAUCUCGCUUCAUGCAGCACCACCAAUAGUCCAGACGAAGAUCCCUAUACAUCUUUGUCGCCCCGGGAUGGAUGGAGAAUCGGGAUUUAUGCACCUCCUCCAUCAAGAUCUGGUGCACGCCUCCGAGGUAUGGCACCCACACCCUACGGUAUAAUGUCAAUAAUCCCCUGCUGUCAUAGUCAAAUGAGGAAACCUGACCCACUAUGCGCUCACUNGUUCCUCCUUCAUGACCUCCUGCUGGGCCUCCCGAAUCCGCUCCAAUAGCUGAGUCACCACUGUCAUCCGCAUGCAGAUACCCCUAAUCGGCGGCGCUUUGCGGCUAAGCGCAUCGACCACCACAUUGGCCUUACCCGGGUGAUAAAGGAUCUCACAAUCGUAAUCCUUUACCACAUCCAUCCACCGACACUGCCUCAUGUUUAGAUUCGGCUAAUCCAUGAGGUACCUCAAACUCUUAUGGUCCGUGUAAAUGGUACAGCGAACCCCAUAGAAGUAAUGAUGCUAAAUCUUGAGGGCGAACACAACAGCCCCAGCUCCAAGUCAUGCGUCGGGUAAUUCACCUCGUGAGGCUUCAGCUGCCUCGACGCAUAGGCGAUGACAUGCCCUCUCUGCAUCAACACCACGCCCAAACCUGAGAUGGAUACAUCGCAGUACACAACAAAAUCCUCCAUGCCCUAUGGCAGGGCUAAGAUUGGCGUUUCGCACAAUCUCUGUCUCAGUGUCUCGAACGCUGCCUGCUGCUCAGGCCCCCAACGAAAGACCACGACCUUCCUUGUUAGCCUGGUCAACGGUACGACUAUCUUGGAGAAUUCCUGGAUGAAUCUCCGAUAAUAGCCUGCUAAUCCCAGGAAACUCCGAAUCUCAGAUGGAGACUUCGGAACCUCCCAUCUCAUCACGGCCUCCACCUUGGCCAGGUCUACCGAAAUCCUGUUUUGGUUGACAAGGUGCCCAAGAAACUGCACCUCACGCAACCAAAACUCACAUUUGGAGAACUUGGCAUACAAGCUCUCCCUCCUCAAAGUCUCCAGCACCUCUCGCAGGUGAUCCUCGUGCUCCUCCUACGUCUUGGAAUAAGCCAAGAUAUCAUCGAUAAAAACUAUCACUGACCGGUCUAACAUCGGUCUACACACGCGAUUCAUGAGGUCCAUGAAUGCGGCAUGAACAAUGGUUAGCCCGAAGGGCAUCACCACAAACUCGUAGUGGCCAUAGCGCGUCCGAAACACAGUCUUCUGCACAUCCUCCUCCCUGACCCUCAUCUGAUGAUAUCCUGAACGCAGAUCAAUCUAGGAGAGAUGCUCCUUGUAGCAGGUCAAAGAGGUCAUCAAUCCUUGGGAGUGGGUAACGGUUCUUCACCGUUAGCUUAAUCAGCUCCCUAUAGUCUAUACAAAUACGAUGCGAUCCGUCCUUCUUCAUCACAAACAGAAUCGGGGCUCCCCAAGGCGAACUACUUGGCCUGAUAAAUCCCUUGUCUAGCAGCUCCUGCAGCUGCGUAGACAACUCUUGCAUUUCGAGAGGAGCCAACCGAUAGGGUGCCUUGGCUAUCGGAGCCGCACCAGGGACUAGGUCGAUCUUGAACUCCACCUGGCGCUCCAGAGGUAUCCCGGGCAGCUCCUCGGGGAAUACGUCCGCGAACUCUCAUACUACGGGCAUCUCGACCACCGUCGCUCUACCCGCAUCCCGGUUAUCCAUAACAUACGUGACAUAACCUACGCAAACCUGCUGGAGGUAACGCCUAGCUCUCGCCGCUGAACAUAGGGUUGGUCCUCGCUGUGGCUUCUCGCCCUGAACCACCAGCUCUCCCCCACUUGGGGUCCUGAUCCGCACCAACUGUUGCGUGCAGUCGAUCGCUGCCCUAUUGGGGCUUAACUAAUCCAUACCGAUAAUAACCUUGUUCCCCCGUUAAGGUAUGGGAACCGGAUCCGCUAGAUAACGCUCCUCAAAUAACCUCAGCACACAACCUCGGAACACCGUCGAUGCUCGCACCGAAUGGUCAUCCGCAAUCUCUACGUCUAGAGGGAAUCCAACAUGCCUGAAGACUCGGAAAAUCUCUUGCUGAGCGCAAGAGUAACAAACGAUCGGAUAGCACCCGAAUCAAAACAUACCUGAACUAGGAUACCGUUCACAUGGAACGAUCCUAAACAAAGCACAUACAUAACAUAUCAAAAUCACAGAACUAUAUCAUAAUAGCAUAAAUAGGAAGUCAUACCCGUCACUACAUCGGGUGCAGCGCGUGCCUCCUCGGUAGUCAACUGGAAUGCUUGACUCCUCACCACUGGAGCCUCUACCUUGCCUUGCCGGCCAUCAGUGAUCCGCAGGGUUGCUGUAGCUGGCGCCUUCAUCAGCGCUGAUGCUGCUGUCAACUGGGGGCAAUUGGCCUUCUUGUGGCCCCUCUGGUUGCAGUGGAAACACAGCAACUCAAAAGUCUGAAUAACCGAUGCAGGGGUAGUACAAUCCCUGCUGAAAUUCCCCGUCUUGCCGCACUUGUAGCAGCCCGACGAUCCCAGUCUACACGCCCCCUCAUGUGGCCCGCCGCAUUUCCUGUAGCGGCUCGGUUCUGACUGGCCUUUCGGCCUACCAUUCGAUCCCUUGGGCUUCUUCCCCGAAGCCCCAGUUGACUGCCCCUCCUCUACUUUCCUCUUCCGGAGAUGCUCCAGAUUAAUCUCCCUCUCCCUCCCCCUGGCAAUCAUAGACUCUAGGGUAGGGCAAGCUGAAAAACUAACAUGCUCCCGAAUGUCGGCUCGCAGCAUGUCAUGAUAGUGGGUCCUCCUCAUAUCCUCGUCUCCUGCAUACUGGGGCACCAGCAAUGCCCUCUCCCGAAACUUGGCGGUGAUCUCUGCCACCGUCUCCAUAGUCUGUCUCAUAUCCAAAAACUCUGUAGCCAGCUGCUGAAGCUCUACCGCUGGCGCAAACUCUGCUCUGAACCGGGUCACAAAAUCCGACCAGGUCAUAGCCUCAACAGCCGAGGCUCCCGAUGAGUCGCCAACAGACUCCCACCAGUCUCUAGCUCUAUCUCUCAAACACCCUGUUGCAUAUCUCACCUUCGACCCCUCGGGGCAGAAACUGGUCAGCUGUGUGGACUCAAUGUCCACAGUCCAUCGUCUGGCAGCAAUGGGGUCCUUCGCCCCAUGGAAAUCCGACGCACCACUGCCCCUGAAGUCUUUAAAGGACAGUGUGCGAGAUCCUAACUGGCCAGAUGGCAUGUCACUCCUGAACGCCCUGAGGCGGUCCUCCAUCAGCUCAACUAUCCCUUCCUUGAUCAACUCGAAAAUGAUGGGGGUCGACUCAAGGAUGUCUCUGGUGAUCACUGACGCGAUGAACUCACGUAGCCUCUCAUCUACUGGCUCGGAACCUGAUCCCGAACCCGAUCCCUCUCCAAAACUGCCAACUGCUGACGUAGUACCACCAUUCUGCAAUACAUAUAGGCAACCAUUAGUGAUACAGAUAGCUCUAAAGGGAUCACAUCUAUUACAAGUUCCCCGGUCUUGUCUUAGCCUUCCUCAAUUUGGGUACGGAUCCUCUUCUUUCAGUAGUACGGGCCCAUACUACCUUCCACAUCUAUCCAUACCUUCCUCAAGGACUGCCUGGACUCCACCAGAUCCCUUUUACCACUGCUGAUCUCUGCUACUCUUAUCCUAGGCUUACCCUAGGAAACCCUUGACUAUACCCAACCCAGUCCUCAGCUGCUGAAGGUCUCUUUGUAGUGCCAAUUAGCCAUUACCUGAAUACAAUCACAUGCAACGAGGCUCAUAUAAUCCUUCGAGUAAGGGACUCAUCCCUACAAUAGUUAGAAUUCAAACAAGAGCUACGCAAUAAGGUCAAAUCCAACACUCUGAGAUUAUUCAACCCUGAUCGCAUGUGACUUUAACGUAUUCACCUAACAGCUAACUCCCAUCACUCAAAUCCCACAUAGCACAAAGCAAGCAACAUUCGGACAAAAGGGAACCAUCUCAAGAAACUAUAUCCUCAUAACAGGAACUACACUAGCAUACAAUGCUAAGCUCAUACUAUCAGACAUAACCUAGACAGGCUAUCCUACUAUUGUCUACUCAAUUCUAGCGUGCAACUCUGAUAAACUGAAGCACAUAAAGCAGGCACAUAAGACAUCACUCCUAAAUCCUUAGUCCUAUUCUAACAUGUUGUUCUACUGAAACUAAUAAACGUAACAUAAACUCGUAUGGGUACUUUGGGGAAUAUUUACUUGAGCUCGGCCGGUCGCGCACAUCACACACUUCGUUCUUUCUCAAAAACUGUUUACUUAACUUUUAGAAAACAUUUCUUUUUUUUUUUUCAAAAUCUUUUAAUCCCUUGAUUUGAGUUCAGACACCCCCGAGGGUAGUAAAACGUCAUCUGAUCAUAUCAUUUCAAUAAACAUAUCUUGUAUCCAAAUACCCAAAACAUGAAAAUAGUAAUAAUGUCAAGGUACAAUCCCAGAAUAUCUCACAAUACGGAAAACCAAAGUGUGUCGGUAUGAUGUGCUGCUACCACGCUAGCUCCUUCCCCUUCGCUAAAGAGGUACCUGAAACCAACACUGAAAACUGUAAGCACGAAGCUUAGUGAGUUCCCCCAUCGUACCACAUACCAUACAAUCAUAUCACAUACAUACUUCCAGACAUUUAUGGGGUGCCGACCUACCCGUACCGCCAUUCUGGGGUGCCGACCUACCCAUGCAGCCAUUUUGGGGUGCCGUCCUACUCGUGUCUAGCCAUUCUGGGGCGCUGACCUACCCAUGUCGAGCCAUUCUGGGGUGCUGACUACCUUUUGGUCCUAACAACCGAACCUCAGGGACUAUUUCACCCCCUACUUCUAAUAUCACAUAUAACAUAACAUAAACAUAUUAUCAAACAUAUCUGGGGUGCCUGAACUACCCUUCUAUCCUAACAACCGAACUCAGGGACUGGUCCCCUCCUACUACCUCUAUCGCAUAUAACAUAACAAGCCAGCAUGCAAACAUAUCAUCACAUACUGUCAGACGCAUCUGGGGUGUCUGACUACCCUUCGGUCCUAACAACCGAACUCUACUACUAUCACAUACACAUAUCAUGUUAGCAUAUAACAUAUCAGGUAGUAGCUAUCCUAGAUGAUAUCACAAAGACCAUCAUCUAUCAUACGUGCCCUACUGGUGGGUCGGCAUUGUGCCCGUAGACCCACCGCUACUGGAAGGUAACUCACCUCAUAGUAGCUGCUGAACUGUGCGGGAAUCCUCUGACUGCUACCGCUGCUACUCCAGAAAUCCUCCGGUUAUAAUUCCCACAAAACACUUAGUCAGAAACUGACAUCUACUCUUAGGGUAAAAUGAUAAUUUUACCCCUGACCAAGUCAAAUUCAAUGUCAACUUCCAGUUGACCUGACUCGCUUAGUUGGACCGCCAACUCGCCGAGUCCCUAUCCUUCCGUUAGACCUCAUACCCAACUCUACUCGUCGAGUUAGGCGAUGACUCGGUGAGUUUUCCUUCUAAAUGAACACCGAAUGAAUCCUCAUCCGACUCGCCGAGUUGUAUAAACAACUCGUCGAGUCCAUUAUCAACUGAUACUCAUGUCUUGCCCUUAACUCGCCGAGUUAUAUGAACAACUCGUCGAUUUACUCUACAUCCGAUGAACACGUUUUGUCCUCGACUCGUCGAGUUGAUGAACAACUCGUCGAGCUCUAUGAAGAUUGCCUUGGACUCGCCGAGUCUGUUCAUGCACUCGCCGAGUACCAUGAAUUUCAAGAACAAUUUGCUUAUUUCAGAACAUUGGGUCACUCCCCAGGACUCUCUAAAACCUCUCCACACUCAUCUGGUCCUUUUGACCCUCACUGAUAUAUGGGACAGAACCCUUGGACUCGCCGAGUCGGUUACGUCCCCUCCUUCAAACUUCGAUUUCCGAUGUACAACACUUGACUAAAAGAUAGAUCUAGGCCCCUAGACUCGUUCUAGCACGUAAAGUUACAAACUUUACGUGCAUGCAUGGGACUUUUGAGCUUAAAAGGCUCUAAAAUGGUUCUUUUGUUGCAUGGGGCCUUCCUUGAGUGCAAAAGCAACCCAAAUCUGCCUUGUGAAUCCAAUGAUGACAUGAUCCAGAAGCUCAAACCCCCAACCAUGUUUGCAAACAUGGUUGGCCACCAAAAAUGUCUUAUAAAAGCCCUAAAUCACCCCAAAGAGGGAUCUAACAAAUGAAUGAGCAAGGUUCAGACUUUAUACCUUCUAUAGACUGUAAAUGGUGAACCAAACUCGAAUCCUUCAGUCUCCUCUUGAUCCUUCUAUGCUCUUCCUUCUUCCUUGAGGUCAAAACUCACAAGAAUCACUCAAAAGCCUUGGAUUUUCUCAAAUCGGCUAGGGUUUGCUAUGAGAAGUGCUUGGGAGCAUAAAGGGGGAGUGGAGGCUACAUAAGGUCGUUUAAAUAGGGUGCAAACCCCUGGAUUAGGGUUUUAGUCCAGACAACGACUACUCGCCGAGUCCGGGACCCAACUCGCCGAGUCCGCAACUUAAACUCUGCGCCUUAUCCCGCUUCUACUCGGCGAGUCAGUCCUUCGACUCGCCGAUUCCAAGGCUAAAAAUGCAAAAAUAAAAGAAGAUUUAAUAACAGAAUACAUACCAAGAACCAGGUGCUACAUUGUGAUUGUUUCCUCUUAACUCGAAUUUACACUUCUAAGACAAAACAACACAAUGGAAAAAAGUUUUAUCUAUCUCCACAGUAGGUAAUGAGAUUCUUUAUGAUUGCUUCCUCCUAACUCGAAUUUGCACUUCCAAGACAAAGAAUCUCAUUGUUUGUUAUAAAGAUAGAUGAAACCGAAGAUACUACUUGGAGAAAACUAGGACACCAAUAUUAUUUGAUCGAUUUGUAAAUCAGGUUACUAAUAUAAAUGAAGGAAGAGUCAUGUAUGAAAACACCUAAUUAAUGAUUGUCUUAUGUAGGAUGUCGUGAGGAAAAUCUAAAGAAAUCGACUAUAAGGACUAAAUGUAUAGAAAAACAUUAAGGAUUAAAUGUUUACAAACUAAAAAAUAUAUUAACUAUUAGGUUAUUUUUCCGGCUUUAACCCGGUUAUAAUGACUAAAUGUGAAAAAAAAAAAACAAAUUAAAUGGUAAAAUAUGGACAAAAAGAACAUUCAGUGACCAAAUAUAUACAAAUAAAAAAUAUAUUAUUCUUUUAAAUCAUUUUCUUUAAAAAUUAUCCUCUUCUUUAAUUUCAAAUAUCACUAUUUUUCAUUUUUUUUUAUUUAGUUUGUUUAUCUAUUGUUUUUAUAGUAUAAUAUAAUUUUUAGAAAUAAAUAUACAUGUAUCUAUAUAUAGAUAGAACAUGACAAAUGACCCUAAGCUAUGCGAUGUUGAUAUGAUCCCAAGAAAUUGUCCGUCCGGUCUAAUUGUAGUUGAAGUGUAUCCGAAGCAAAGCUCAUCCAAGAAAGUGAUUAUUUUUGUCUUAUGUUUUUUUUAUAGAUCAAUGAACAAAAUCAACAUGAUCAUUUUACAUACAUAUUGUACUAUACGUUCCCUUGUAUUUUUACAUGUUUACUUUUAGUUUAUGAAUAGACAAGUCAAACUAAUGUAUCGACCAACAUUUCUUGUAUCACUUCAAAAGUUAAUACAAUCAGUCAUUUUUCUUAAAUACUUUUUAUGUUCGUCAUUUAUUAUCCAAGCAAUUUACUCUUUCUUAUUUAUUAUUGCAUUUAAUACAUCUUGGUUAAUGGUUAAUCAUUCAUAAAUCUAACUUGACUCAUUCCAAAAUUUGAGGUAACUCAUAUUAUAAUUCAAACUAGAGAAAUUAAAUAUUCUCCUAGCUUUUGAUCCUACUAAUCCUUCUAUUUAUUUAAAUGAUGACAUGUGUCAUAUUAAUAUCAUAAAAUAUCAUUAAAUCUCAUUAAAUAAGCAUUAAAUGUUACACAUGUCACCAUUUCAUUAUGUAGGAGGAUAUAUAAGAACAAAAAGUAAAAAGAUAUUUAAUUUUCUUCAAACUAUUCAAACAUUACUAUAACUAUCAAAUAAAUACUGAUUAUAAUUGUUUAUUUGAUACUUACACGUAAGCCAUCAAACGAUAAGUCAUCAAACCAUAAUGUUUGGAACAUGCUUUCAUGAAAGUCAAUGUUCAUGAAUACUUUACAUAAUUUCGUUGUUACAUAAUAAAAGGUGUAAAGUAUCUUUUACCAAUAACAUUAUGACAUACUGAUUGUAAUUAUCCUAUGUAUUAGCUACAGUUGAAACCACAAUAAUAGAGUUAGGGCCAGUCCAAACAUAUAGGGCACGGGGCGAAAAGAAAAAAUGACUCCUUUAAAACAAAUAUAAUAAUGAUUUAAAAAAAUAUAAUUUAUUCUUCACUAUAAACGCCUUCAAAUAGCAAUAACAAACAAGUCAAAUUGUUUAUCUUUUGAGCUAGUUUGAGUUUAAAUCAACUUUAGGUCUUAAAAAAUUAUUAAGGUAAUAUAUAUAUAUAUAUAUAUAUAUAUAUAUAUAUAUAAGNGUUGCUGAUCAUUUGAACCGCCCUGAGUAGAUUAAUAUACCAAAGAUGCAAAUAUGUUAAGUUGUGUGUAAUCGUUGGAGCAUGCUUUCAUAAAAUUUUUUAUUACAAAAAUAACAUCCUUUUUUACAAUUAAUUGUAUAACCUUUUUUACAAAAAUUUACAAAUUAUUACAACCUGUUGACUUCUUUUAUAUAAUUUUCGUAAAACUUUUUAUAGAAAAAAAAUCACUAUAUUAGUAAAUUACAACAUUUUAUAGAAUUUUUUACAAUGUUCUUAAACUUAAUUUACAACCAACACAAAAUAUAAAUCAAAUAAGAAAAUAGAUCAAAACUCUCAGAAUCAUCAACAUAAAAAAUUAAUCGAAUCAAUUCAUUCAGGCUUCUCCAAGAUUACAGUACCCCUCACUCGUCUGAUGAGGAAGGGGGUGAAUUUCCAAUGGGGCCCUGAGCAGCAAACAACAUUUGAGACCCUUCGGAAGAGAUUAUGUCAGGCCAUGGUUUUGACCCUCCUAGAGGGAAUUGAGGAUUUCGUGGUAUUUUGUGAUGCUUCCAUCACUAGUUUGGGGGUGGUCCUCAUGCAGAGAGACGAGUGAUAGCAUAUGCUUCGUGGCAGCUAAAGCCGCACGAGAUGAGGUAUCCCACGCACGAUCUGGAGUUGGAGGCAGUGGUUUUUGCCCUUAAGAUUUGGAGGCAUUAUCUUUAUGGAAUCUGUUGUACUAUCUACACGAACUAUAAGAGUUUGAGACAUAUUAUGGAUUAACCGAACCUGAACAUGAGGCAGCGCGGGUAGCUGGACGUAGUCAAGGAUAAUGACUGCGAGAUCCAUUACCAUCCGAGUAAAGUGAACGUGAUGGUGGAUGCUAUGAGUUGCAAGUCAGCUGGGUCUUCAAUUAGGGUAUCGUGUAUGAGGAUAUUAGUGGAUUCUCCGCUUUUGCGAUUAAUUAGGGAGGCUCAAGUUGAGGGUGUUCAGGAAGAGAACUGGAAGAUAAAGAAAAUCAAGGGUGAGAUCGCCAGAUUUGUUCCGGAUAGUCGUGGAUUGUUGAACCGUUGUGGUCGGGUAUGGGUUCAUAUGGCUGGUCUGUAACGACCCGAAAACCAAGGGUAAAAAAUUCAUUUUUAAUUUAGCUAAAGCGUAGAUACCAUUUAUUACAAACAUUUCAAAUCAUCGUUAAGUAAAUCAUUUAUCAGAGUUCAUCCCAAAAUCAUUCAUUGCGGAAAUCAUAGGUGUGUGCACUGCGAUCAAUCUGAGCCCUUCAUUUCCAAAUCGAUGAAACCUAUAACCAAAACUGUAAACCAUAAGCACAAACCUUAGUGAGUCCCCAAAACAUACCCCACACACAAUCCACAUAACACAUAACAUAUUAGCUUUAAAAGCUAUCUUUACCGCAUACCACAUAUCAUAAUAGCUAUAAAAGCUAUCUCUACCACAAAACACAUUAGCUAUAAAAGCUAACUUUACCACAUAUCAUGUUAGCCACAAAAGCUAUCUCUACCGCAUAACAUAUUAGCUACAAAAGUGAUCUCUACCACGUAUCCCUGCAUAAGGAUGCCAUGGGCUCCCUUACAUGGUCUUACACCUAAGUGCCAUGGGCUCCCCCCAUGGUUUUUCCCUGUCGGACAAUCAUGGGCUCCCCCACAUGGUCUUACAUCCAAGUGUCAUGAGCUCCCCCGAUGGUCUUUCAUGCAAAUAUCACAAAAAAAGCAUAGCAUAGCAUAGUAUGAAGCAUAUAAUGGACUGGCAUACCACAUAUCACUACAUCAACUAGUGUACCACAUAAGUCUACAUAAUAAAUAUACCACACAUCUUUACAAAAUGGGUCGGCCUUGGUGCCUUAGACCCAUUGGUAUGGUGAGAAGACUCACUUGGCAUUGCUGAAGUCCCACAGAUAAAACUUCAGUGCUGGUUGACAGGUUCCCGAACUGUCAACAUCAAAGAAUACCCAAUUAAUAAUUGGGUUCCAACUCAUAAUCAUAAGUCCAUGCUUGGGGUAACAUACGAAUCUACUCCUAACUUGGCUUGAUUCAAGCCCAAGGCCCAAUCCAAAGGCCUAAAAGUCCAACUAUGGCUCAAAGCCCAACUGAUGGCCCAAUUUUCAAAUUGGGCCCAAACCUUUACAUGUCUUAUUCAAAGGCCCAACCAAAAAGUCCAGUCCAACAUUUGGUAUUUCUAAUGGCCCAAUAUCUCGAAAUCAUGAAGGCCCAAACUAUGGCCCAUCUAUGGCCUAAUUUUCCAAAUUAGGCCCACACCCUCAUAUGGGCCUUACCCUAAUCCCAUCAACAUAUUCUAAUCCAUAUGAUUAAUCCUGGAUGGCCCAUUAAUAAUCUAAUUACCAAAGCCCAAUGGAAAGGCCCAACUCAAGGCCCAAGUGAAAUUAGGGUUUCACAUAAUAUGAUGAUUAGGGUUAAGUGUCCUUACUCAACCCAUUAAGGACUUAAUCCAUUAAGUCCAACAUGGCCUUAGGUUAAUUUGCAAUGAUUAUUAAUUAAUAUUUUAAGUUCAUUAAAUAAUUCCGAUGCGGUCCCGAUAAAUCUAAAAUUAGGGUUUCAUGGUAUUAGGGUUUUCUAAACCCUAAUUAGGGUUUCCAACCCAUCUUAGCCCAAUAUGCCCAAUAGCUAGGUCCUUUGAUCAAUUAGGGUCCAUUAGGCCCAUUAGAGUUUCAAGCAUCCCAACCGAAUUAAACACGACAAGUCAAAGCACACCGCCACCCGACACGGCGGCCGGUGGCGGCAGCCACCACCUCACGGUGGUGGUUAUGGGUUUCUUUCAUUAAUCGUUUUCUAAAUAUACUUACAAUGCUUGAAUCCAAAAAUAUACACACUAACGAACAUGGACAUACACAUACAGCCACCCUUGUGGUGGCAGAACCAAAGUAGAGGCGGNGCAGCCACCAUGGUUAGCAGCCAUGGUGGUCAUUUCGGGGUUUUCCAGCCAACCGAAUACUCACACACGCACCCCAACUAGCAACAACAACAACACACACACAAAAUAAGCCUCCUCGGGGGUGGCGGAUGAUGACCAGAGCAGUGGGAGAAGAACUAAACGACGGUUUGUGACAGUCGUGACCGCAAACGGAGGUAGAGAGGUGUUUACGGCCGGGAAACGGUGGCAAUCCAUCACCGAGGCAACGACCACAGUAGCACAAUAACCUCCGACAGCAGCAAUGACGUUUGCGACGUCCAAUACUGAGAGAAACGACUGGGAAGAGAGAAAGAGAGAGAGAGNCUGUAAUAUAUAUAUAUAUAUAUAUAUAUGUAUAUAUAUAUACACACAGAGAGAGAGAGAGAAAGAGAGAGAGAGGUGGCGGUUAGGCCCACCAGAAACUCCUUGGCUGCUCACGGCUAACAACUCGUCGUUCAUAGCCCCACUGUGUGAUGUCCGACAACGGAGUUAUGGAUAGCGGCGCUUGGCGACAGGCAGCAGAGAAAUGGGGCGAUGGCGUUGCUGGUGGUUCUUCGACUUCGACAGCAAACGAACGGCGGUGGGGAGGGUCACGAGGUUUGUGACCGCAAACAAGAGGAAUAAGGGUGGCGCCCGAUGACUUCACUUUAGGGUUAGGGUUUGGCAACCUUUAAAUACCCGCUCCAUAUUAAAAGUUUUCCAUAAUGGCAGAACUGGUUCCUCCCCAUAAACAUUUUUGCAACAAAGGCUUAAAAUUUACUCUUUAUACCCCUGCUCCCUCAAUUCUUUUCAUUUUAAGACCGAAAUUUACCUUUUUAACCCAGUCUUCCGAAAUGCUUUACAAAUUAAGUCUAAUAUUUACCAAACAACCCCUAAGCUUCCGAAAUCUCUUCAAUUUGAGUCCCAAUAAUUCGCCAAUUAUACCUUGCCUUUAUAAAUAUUUACGACACUAACCCAAGACUUACGUUUAAACCCCGACUUCUAAAAAUAUUUACAACAUAAAUCCCAGAUACUCCAAUAUAUAACAUUUGACUCCCCAAAACCAAUAAUAUCCUAAAUAAUAUGAAUUUAUUGCGACUAUUCGUUCAUCAAAUUUUAUCUAUUUAUUUAUUAAUUAAACAAGAUGUUAGAUGGUCGGGUCAGACAUAUUGUGUUGGAGGAGGCUCAUAAGUCUCGUUUUUUAAUCCAUCUGGGGGCCACAAAGAUGUAUCUAGAUCUGAGAUUAAGUUUUUGGUGGUCGUGUAUGAAAAGGGAGAUCGCCUAGGACGUGGAGAGGUGCAUGACCUGCAGGAUGGUCAAGGCUGAGCACCAGAGGCCGCAUGCCAAGCUAUAGCCUCUAGAGGUUCCCAUGUGGAAAUGGGAGCAGAUUUCGAUGGAUUUCAUCACCAAGUUGCCGAAGACAACAAAGGGGUUCGAUGUUAUUUGGGUCAUCGUGAAUCAAUUGACCAAGAGUACCCACUUCCUGGCAAUUCGGGAGAGUUCUUCGGCCGAGAAUUUGAUUGAAGUGUAUACUCGUGAGAUCGUUGCUCUCCAUGGGGUUCUGGUCUCCAUUGUUUCAGACAGUGAUGUUCGGUUCACCUUGUUGGGUUUUAGUUCAAAAAUAGCUUCACAUACUAGAAAAAUAUGACAAUGGAAGACUUAAAUUUUUGAAAUAACAUAAAUAUUGUAUACCCACCAAGGAUAUUCUUUCAAGUUAUAAGAAGAUUUAAACACCAACCAAAGAAAGGAUGAAGAAAUAACAACCUUUGUUGUUCUUUGGGUCCUCUAGGGGAGCUGCGAAGUUGAUGAAGAAUGUGGAACCUUUGAGACACCAACAAUGACAUCAACUUGAUGUAGAUGCUAUUCCAUAAGCUCUUAAACCCUUAAGCUUUAAGUUCAUAACCAAUAUGAACUUAAAGAGGGCGUGAAAAAUGCAAGUAUUCUCUUCAUGCGAAAGCAAGACUAGAGAGAGUGAGAUAGAGGGUUAUGGUUUCAGCCAUUCUUCAAAAGAAUGACUAGCCAAAAAUGCAAGCCCCAAACCUUGUAUUUAUAAUAGUAACAAUACCCUACCUUUUGAAUAAACUAUUCAAUAGACCAUACUCUUAUUUAAAUAAUCAAAGAGCCGCUCUCAUUUAAGUAAUCAAAAAGCCAUACCCUUAUUUAAAUAUUUAAAGAGCCAUUAUCUUAUAUAAAUAAUCAAAAAUUCAUACUCUUCCUUUUUUAACCUUAUUUUUAUAAAUAAUAAAAAGAAAAAGGAAAAAAACUUUAUAUUUUAUAAAACAAGUUUAUACAAUACAAACUUGAACUUUUUGGUAAAAGAAAAAAGAAUUUGUCUAGUCCAAAAUGGUGUGCAUGACUUAUUAAUUCAUACCAUAUGAACUAUAUAUAAUGUUACUUGCUAAUGAAAAUUAUUAUUUCAUAGAAAUAAAUAAUUUCCAAAUUAAUUAUAAGAGUUUAUUAAAUAUUUAUUAAAACCAAUUCUAAUAAAUAAUCGAUUGUAUCAAGUUGUUAGUGUAACCCAUUAGUAUCAUAUGUUAAUUAGCAAUAUCACUAUAAUAUGACUCUUGAACAUACUAGACCUUUCAAUCUCCCACUUACGCAAGAUCCAUAUUAGACUGAUAUAGAAAGUGGUGAACGUCUAGUAACAUUUCACUACCCCUAACAACAUACGACUUUGUGCCAUUCUAUCAACGCCCAAUUCCCAAAAAUUUCAAAGCUACAAUUGGUGUAUAAGGUAAGUUUAUCAGUUAUCCCUUUGCUACAAACAUCAUGUUAAACAUUAGAUACGGAUCGCGAUCAAUCUCAUUAGUUGUUCAACUUUUGGUAAGGCAUCUUAGAUGUCUAACUCUCAACAUAUAAGAGGAACAAAUCUCAUCCUGACUACGUAAGCCUCUUGCAUAGUUCACACCAUACCUGAAAAUGGCUUUUGUAACUACCCAGUUAAGGAAUAACAUUUGACCAUAUCAAAUCAUAGUACUCUCCCACUAUGCAUCUCAGGUGUUAAGGAUACAAAGAUAGUACCUUUUAAUCAAGUAUCACUCAUGAUAUCGAUCAAUGGGAUGAUCUUGAUGCGGGUUAAUUUAAUACUAGUUAUUUGACAAGUACCUAUGAAACUUGGCUACAACCACUUGCCUACUUUCAUCUAGUGAGAUUCAACCAAUCCAAUUCAUAUUAGUCUUACUUCAUAACUGCUCCCACAAUUAUAACCGACUAUGAACUUUUAGAAUAAUAACAUUAUUCAUGGAUUAAACAUGUUAAUAAAGAACACAACAAGUAUUAAUGUGAUGACUAUAUCCCAAUAUAUCAUAACAUUAUUUAAUAGUUGUUAUAAUGUUCCAAUAUCCAAAUACCAAAUCCAAAUCAAAAACCCAUUUCUAGAAUAAUAAAGUCUUAUAGCUGAAUUGUGACCACUCAUACAUAGCUCAAAAGAAUGACUUUGUCAAUGGAUCUGACAAAAUUUAAUUUGUGUGAAUUCUGUGAAUACUAUCAUCUCCAUACUUAACUUUACUCUAAGUAUAGUUAAAUAUCUUGGAGAAUAUGAUUUGUGUUCUUUCGUGACAUUGAGUUUCAUAGCUUGAUUAAGUAUAUUCUCGAUAUCAUAAAGAUUUCUAUGUGAUCCUAGAAUGGCAGAAAUCAACAUAAUUUUUCAAUGAUCUCAUUCAUCCCAUCAUAUUUGAAUUCAACUUCUCAAGUAGUGUAUUCUAAUUUUGUAGUAGAUUGUUUCAUUAUGUUUUUCUUGGACCUCAUUCCAACAAGACAUACCCUUUAUUACAUAAUGAAGUCAAAAUCCAAUUAUAAAUCAUAGUUAUUUAUAUUUGUUUAGAAAUUAACAUCUUGUGUAGCUCUUUCCAUAAAGAUCCUUUCUAAAGUAAUUGUCUCAUAUAUAUUCUCUUAAUUCUUUUAAAGUACUCUUAGAAUGCUCUCUUAGUCAUCAAGUGACUUAACCAUGUAUUAAGUUAGUAUCCUAUGACAUGCUUACAACAUGAUCAAAUACCAUGUCCUAUGCAUAAUAUGGCGUAAAUGAUGAAUACAUUUGCCAAGCAAAUAGAUUAUAAAUCAUUUCAUCUAGUCGAAGCCUAUGAGCUAUGUACUUUUGAGGCUAGCUCAAAAUGGUGCCAUAUGACAAUGCCAAGAAUUCUCCAAAAGAAUCUUGUGUUUUGAUCCCUUUCAAGAUAUUGCCAAUAUAUUUAUAAGGACAUGAAACUUUUAACAUUCAUUUUAUUUAUCUCUUAUAGAUUUUACAUUCCAAGAAUAUAUCUUCUCCUUCCUAAGUCUUUCAUUUUUGAAAGACUUUCUGAGUCAAGGUGAAACGACCUUGCUUACUCAAAAUGUGAUUUCAAAUGAUUAAGUAUGUCUCAUUCAUACAAGAUUAGGAAUUUCAAUAUGCUCCCACUAGUUCUUAGUAAACACACAUGUUCUAUUCAUUUUGAUAUAAAAACAUACCUUGUGGUUUAAAUUAAAAGGAUGAUUGCAAUAUUGAGAUGUUUUCUUUAUAUGCACAAGUGGAUCAUAAGCUCUACACAUUUUUUUAGGAUAACGUGGAUUAAGAAAACCUCCACGCUAAUCUAUAUAGAUAUCUAUUAAGAAAAAGCGGUCUUUCUUGAAAUUUAUUUACUAUAUAUCAUAUUAAGAAUUUGAAUUUAUAGUAAAAAACAUCCUUAUUGAUCUAGUCAUAUCUACUUGUGAAAAAGGUUUGAUCACAGUCAAUGUCAUGAGUAUGAUGAGGACCAGAGUCAAUGACAUGAGUAUGAGAAAAUCCUUUUAUAACAAGUCUUGCUUUAAAUGUGCAUGGUUAUCCAUGUAAUUUAUUCUUUCUAGAAGAGGUAUUUCCUCCUUCUAUCCUUGCUAUAGGGAUAAAUUUUAAACAAGCAUGUACUUGAUUCUCAUACAUGGAUUAAAUCUCAUGUUCAUGACUCUAAGUUAUUUAUUAGAUUCAAUAUCUGACAUUACAUCUUGGUACUUGAUGGAUUUUACAGAAACCAUUAAUAGAAGCUCAUCAGUGAGAGAUUCCAUAUUUCUCAAGUCAUAGAUGAUUUCUACCAUUAAUGCUUUGUGUUUGUGAAUAGAUAUUAUUCAAGUUUAACAAUCCUUGUUAAAACUAGUGCCAACCAUUACUACAUAAGGUUAUGAUUCUUGAGUUGCUUCAAGUUCCAUGUAACUCCCACUUACUUUGUCAUUAGAAGCUUGCUUUCUACUAACUUAGCUUUCACAAGAAUAAGAGGACUUAUUCUUGGUGGUUUUAUAUAUAAUAAUCUAAGCCACAUUUAGAGUAUUAUACAGAUAUGUAUUUAGUAGAUUUUGGGUUUAGAAGCUUUAGUCCAACAUCGGCUUCAAAUCCAUAAAACAUUAAGUAAGAUGAGGAUGGAUCCUUUCCAUACUAAAUCUUAUAAAUUGUUUAAUCUACUUAUUAGUUGGUAUUUAUAUUCAAGAUACAAUUAAUAGUGAUUGAAGUAUUAUCCCAAAAAAGAUUAAAGGAUGAUAUUUCUACCGAUUAGAAAGUAAAUCAUACCAAGUAAGAUAUAAUUCAUCCUUUAUUAUCAUUAACCCCUUAGAUGGUUCUUUCUGGUUUGUAUCUCAACUUUUGAAAUCUUCAACAAAGAUUUCACAAUUACACUUUACCACAUAAAAUAUAAUUAAAACUACUAUAGUUGUUAAUAAAGUUGACUUGGUAUCUUGUGCUUAAUCUCAGACAUUCAUCAGAAAGGAAGUCAUACACCAAGGUGUAUAGUUCCUUAAUUAUUUUCUCUAGACCUUAGUGAAUAUAUCAUUAGGAAUCCUUUACAUAUAAAUAAGAUACCAUAUGUCAAAUAAACUACAUUAUUUGCCUUCAAAGAUCCCUUUCUUGAAGUUUGAAUAUCUGAAUGUCAUUUAUAUAAUAAAGAUAACAAUUUUAAAGAUAAGUUUGAUUUAAAACAAAUUUAAAUCAAAAGUGCUUGUAUAUAGAACUUGAUUUUAUUUAUAAAAUAGUUGAUAUUUACUUUACAAUUCUAUUAAGAGAUCUAGUCUUAUAAAUAGAAGUUAAUCAUUUCAGAAUAUGAAUAUUAUCGUUAUGGAAAACAAUUAAGUAAAUGAUCAAACAUUUGAAUAAAAUAACCGAGACAUAAAUUUAGACAUGCUAAAUUCAAACAUACAUUAUUCUAAAGCAAAUAUUGUUUUACAUUACAAGUAAUUUAUGUUCUAAGCAUAAAUAAUAAAUUAAACUCUAAGAGUGUAGUUCCUACUUGAUUGUGCUCAGCUGGUUACUCUUUAAUAAAUAUCAGCAAGCCAUUUACAAAUAUUAGAUUAACAUUUAAGUACCAAGUACCUAAGUGUUAUAUGAAAAGUAUGAGUUCUAUCUAGUAGAUACUAGAAGUACUAGUGUCUUUCAGACUUUCUUUCCAAAUAAGAGGAGUAAAUCCUCUUCGAGUGUCCAGAUUCUUAACAAAAGAAACAAGAUCCAUCUAUGUGGGCUUUAGUAGAUUUCUUAGGCUUAAAGGUGUUGAAUCCAUAAAACAGGGACCUUCUGGAUCACACAAGGUCAUUAUUUUAGCCUUGCAUUAUUCGAAUGUUUAAACUAGCUUUAACUAAAAUAUCAUUGUAUUUACUGGAAUUUUGCUUGACCUGUUAUAUCAUCAUAUAUAUGUUUAAAUUAUCCAAGACUUCCUAGAAGUCAUGAAUAACUAUUCCUAGCUUGAUGUUAGAAGCAUCUUUAGCAUCACAGUAAUGCCUUUAAUAGGUAUCAUUUUCAGGUUUAUUGCUCAAAGAAAGUAGUUUAGGACUAGGACCUUUAAGUGUAUAUAAUUUCAUAUCUUUCACGAGAUUGUCUCAUAAGACAUGAACCCAUUCAUUCAAGUUGUAUCUACUGAAUGUUGUUUCAUUAAGUCGUUAAAUAAAAUGAAAAUUCAUGAGAAAGAGAAUGGAUUAUUUAACUACAAAAUUUUAACAAAAUUCAUUUAGUAUUUUCAAUAUUUAAUCUUCAAUAAUUAACACCCUUUUAGUGUAACAUCUUGUUCCAGAUUGUUUUGUGAUUUAAGGCCCAUGGGCCUUAAUUCGAGUAUGAGAAGGUUUUGAGGCUUUGAAGGAGAAAGGUUUAGGCCUUUGUGAGUUAUGGGUAAAGUAGGUAGUGUGAUAAAAGAGUUUGGUUUGUGCUUUAGAGCCCAAAUGUAUUGUUAAAGGAGUUGGUGUGGGCUUUUCAUGAAUUUUGGAUCUAAGUUUGAGUGGGUUUCAGGAGGAAUAAAGUUGAUAGAAGUGUAGGGCUUCUCGUUACCUUUUCGUGGAUAUAAGGAUCGUCAGAAAUGGAUUUAUAACGAAGAAAUUAUGGCCUUCAGAAGUUUUGAGGUGUGCAGGCUUAGCCGAGUACACUGGGCGUAAUUUUGGAGUACGCUAGGUGUACUGACCAGGGGUGGUAGCGAAUGUUCAUCAGAGUACCCUAGGCGUACAAUAUGAACGUUGGGCGUACGCCAAUCAGACCUGAACGCUAUUUUAGGGUCUUGGACCCUAUUUAAGCUCCUUAUCCUAUAACCUAACCCUAAUAUCUUCAACCUCCAUCCCUCUAAACCCUAGAAAUCGACCCUAAGCCUCCAUUUAAGUGAUUCUUGAGCAUUUUGGUGAUUUGGUGAGUUUUUGGUACAUGUUGUGGAAGAAGGACUUCCUUGAGGAAGCAUUGCUUGGCUUGGUGCUUGUGGAUCCAAGCCCUAAUCAUGUUGAUCUAGCUCCAGAAAGAAUAAAGUUUGAAUCUUUGUGGCUUUCUCAUGUGGAUCUAGUGGGGUGAUCACUUGUUGUGUUUGGCUUUUGAAGAAGAAGGAGAAUUGAAAGAGAAUAACUUGAGCACCUAGCUUUUGGAUCUAUGUUCUUCUCGUGUUGGUGCAUCUUCCAGAGGUAUCAAGUUUUGAACUUGCUUAUUGUUGUGUUAGUUUUUGUUUUGGGUCCAUUUUAGGGUUUUUGGUCCCAAAGCUUGAAGCUUUAUGACUUGUUGAGCUCCAAAGCAUAAUAUAUGUCCCUUUGAGUAUAUUUGGUGGUGUUAUGUCAUAAAAAUCCAAUCUUUGUCGUUGGAAUCAAGCCAUGCAUGAGAUAGAGGUUUUUGAGAUAAGGAGGUGAGUGUUUUGGGUGUUUGUAACCUUUCCAGCCAAGCAAAGGCUUAAAGUCACUGACUUUAUGGAGUAAGUACCAUUAGGGAGUCCAGAGCUAGGGAUUGAGGUAAUGUCUUAACUGUUUAAGACCAAAUGAGUCGAAAGAGUGAAUCUGGGGAGUACACUGAGCAUAUUUCCUGUACGCCCCGCGUACUACCCAGUGUCCCCGAUGGCCAAUAUGGAUUCGUGAGUAUGCUGAGUGUACCAAGAGAGGCACGCCUCGUGUAACCACACUGUGGAAUUUUGGGCUUAGAUUCAUUUUGGGCCAUGAGUGUUGGGCCUGGAGUUUGGACUGGUUGCAAUAGAGUCUUGGACUAGAGGAUUAUAUAUAUGUGCUUUGGGCCCUUGGGUUGGGCUUGCCAUUAGUGUAGCACCCGGUUCCUGGUAUGUAUUUCAUUCAAGUGUUUUUUUCAAUUUGGACUAAGACUCGGCGAGUUGAUGGACAACUCGUCGAGUAGUAGUGACUUGCACCCGGGGGUUAAGUGGCAGACUCGUCGAGUCGGCGGCAUGACUCGACAAGUAGACUCUGGCAGGACAAAACCCUAAUCCAUUGGCUUGCACCUUAUUUAAACGUCUUAUUCAGCCUCCCUCAUCCCUUAUGCUCUCAGAGCCCCCUCACAUCAAACCCUAAUCGUGCUUGGUGAAGAUCUAAGGCCUUUUUAGUGAUUCUUGGUGGUUUGUGAUGGCAAGAAGGAAGGAGAAGCUUGAGGAACCAAGAGGUUGGCCAGAGGAGUCAAACUUAUGCAUCAUCUCUAGUUCAUGGAAGCUAUAAAAUCGACACCUUGCUCCUUCUUGUAUUAGAUCCAUUCAUGGGGAGAUUUAGUGGUUUUAUAAGCUAUUCUUGGUGACCAACUAUGAUUGCAAGCAUGGUGGGGGUUAAGGUUUCAGAUCCAGGCUCAUUAAAGGGUUAAAAGGCAGAAAGGGACUGCCUUUGCACCCAUGGAAAGCCUCAUGUUCUUUUAGUGUCUUUUUAGCUCAUAAUCCCAUGCAUGCACGUAAAGUUGGUAACUUUACGUGCUAGAUCGAUCUUAGGAGCCUAGCUCUAUCAUUUGGGCAAGUGUUGUACAUCAGAAAUCGUGAAAUGAGACUUGGACAACCUUGACUCGGCGAGUUGUUCUUGGGACUUGGCAAGUCCGAGGCUUGACUUCCCUUUUUCUGUUAGGGUUCAAAGGAACCCAGUGAGUGUUAGAAUGGCCUUAGAAGGGUCCGAGGGAGUGACCCAACACAUUGGACUUAGCCAUAGACCUGUAGUUCAUAGUACUCGAUGAGUGCAUGUGCAGACUCGGCGAGUCGAAGGCAAUCUCCCAACUUUUGAAGAUGAACUCGACGAGUUGUUCAUACAACUCGGCAAGUCAAGGACAUGACUUGUUUAAAGGACGAGGAUGAAAUCGACGAGUUAUUCAUACAACUCGGCGAUUCGGAUAAAGGUUCAUUCGAAGUUGUUUUGGAAGGAGAACUCGUCAAGUCAUUGCUGAACUCGACGAGUAGAGGCAUGAAGAAGGACAAAUGAAAGGAUAGGGACUCGACGUGUUGGAGGCCCAAUUCGGUGAGUCAGGUCAACUGGAAGUUGACCUUGACUUUAACUGUGACUUGGCCCGGGGUAAAAUAGUCAUUUUAUCCUAAGAGUAGUUAUCAAUGUCUGACUAAGCGUUUUAUGGGAAUUAUAGCCGGAGGAUCACCGGAGCAUCAGUCAGACAUCUGUCAAUCAGCUUUCAGCUGUCAGCCUUACGAGGUGAGUUACCUUCCAAUAGGGGUGGGUCUAAAGCACCAAUGUCGGCCCACCAGUAGGUGAUUAUGGUUGAGAUGGUUAUCUUUGUGAUAAUUAUCUGGUUGCUAUAUCUUUGUUGAGAAUGUGUUCAGUAGUAGUAGGGCACACUAGCCCUGGUUACCGGUUGAAAGAUACCGAGGACGAUUACCGGUUGAAAGAUACCGAAGGGGUGGGUUUAUGUAUGGUAGUAUAAUUAUGAUAUGUCAUUAUGUGACUCAGUAUGCUUAUGUAUGUUAUUAUGAAACCAAUAUGUUAUGACUUGUAAUAUGUAAUAGGGAUGGGGGUGAAAGAGUCCCCAGAUACCGGUUGAAAGAUACUGAAUGAGAGGUUAGUUCCCAGGUACUGGUUGAAAGAUACCGAAGGGGAGAGUAGCUCCCGGUUACCAGUCGAAAGAUACCGAAGGGGAGGAUAGUUCCCGGUUACCGGUUGAAAGAUACCGAAGGGGAGGGUAGUUCCCGGUUACCGGUUGAAAGAUACCGAAGGGGAGGGUAGCUCCCGAUUACCGGUUGAAAGAUAUCGAAGGGGAGGGUAGCUGCCGGUUACCGGUUGAAAGAUAUCGAAGGGAAGGGUAACUCCCGGUUACCGGUUGAAAGAUACCGAUGAUUAUGUGCUAUGGGUAUGUUGGGGGAACUCACUAGGGUUCGUGCUUACAGUUUCAAUUUUGGUUUCAGGUACCUCUUCGUCCAAGGGGAAGGAGCCGAUAGUGUAGCAUCGCAUCACACACAUGUUGGAUAAGGUGUCUAAGUCCAUAACUAUUUCUGGUAUGNNNNNNNNNNNNNNNNNNNNNNNNNNNNNNNNNNNNNNNNNNNNNNNNNNNNNNNNNNNNNNNNNNNNNNNNNNNNNNNNNNNNNNNNNNNNNNNNNNNNUGGAUUAUCGACACAUUGGUUGUGACAUGAGAUAUCAUUAUGAAUACUUUUUAUACCGAUGGUUUUAUGUUACAAUUUACUUUAAAAUGAAAUUUUUUGGCCUUGAAUUCUAGGAUGUUACAAAAUGGUAUCAGAGCCCUGGUUUAAGGGAUUCGAACACACCCUCGGGGGUGUCUAGACUCAAACCUUGGGGUAAAGGAUUUUUUUUUAAAAUAAAUGGUUUCUAAAUCUAAGAAAAAGAGUUGGAGAAAGAACAAGGUGUGUGAUGUGUGCGACCGGACGAGCUCAAGUAAGCUUUCCCUAAGAUACCCAUACUUGUUAUGUUAUGUUAUAUGAUAUAUGUUUCUGAGAACUGCAUGCUAUAUUAGGGCUCAGGAUCUAGAAGGAUGCCUUUUAUGCCUGAUAUAUGUUUCUGAGAACUGCAUGCUAGAUUAGGGCUGAGGAUCUAGGAAGGAUGCCUUAUAUGCCUGGUGUAUGAGCUGCAUGCUAGGACUACCUAGUCAGCAGUAGGAUGGCCUGGCUAGGUAAUUCUUGAUAUGGUUACUCAAUGCAUGAAUGCUGCUUGCUUUGUGCUAUACGGGUCCUGGCUAACUUCAACUAACUAGUGAGUGGAUAUGUAACAUUAUCCGCAAGCUAGUUAGGAGAGGAUGGUAAGGACUCCUGAUGCAGCUGAUGGAAGAGAGUAGGUCGGAGAGUGCCCUAGGGAAGCCUAGGAUGAGAAUAGUUGGAAAGGGAUAUUAGUUAUGGGACUUGGUAAAGUCGAAGCAAUCCUUGAGGAAAGUACGGAUAGAUGUGGAAGGUAGUAUGGGCCCGUACUACUGAAAGAAGAGGAUCCGUACUCGAGUCAAGGAGGGCCGUGAUGGAACCAAGAAUCUUGGAUAAUGUGUGAUACCUCUUGGGGUAUGUUUGGAUCCUGACAUUUAUGUGUUUAUUCCCAGUAUGGUGGUCACAAGACAUGGAGCAAGAGGCUCAGGAUCUGGGUCAUGAUCGGGAUCGGGAUCGGGCUCGGGUGCGGGAUCCGAGCAGGUAGAUGAUGGAUUAUGUGAGUUCCUCGCGUCUGAGAUUAUGAGAGGUAUCCUUGAGUCGACCCGAGUCAUUUUCGGGUCGAUCAAGGAGGGGAUCAUCGAGCUGAUUGAGGAUCGCCUCUGAGCAUUCAGGAGUGAUUUGGCGUUUGUCAAGGCGGGUACGCACACACUGUCCUUCAAGGACUUUAGAGGAAGUGGUGCGUUAGAUUUUCACGGGGCGAAGGACCCCAUUACUGCCAGGAGAUGGAUUGCAGACAUUGAUUCUACACAGUUGACGAGCUUCUGCCCAGAAGGGUCGAAGGUCCGCUUUAUGGCGGGAUGUUUGAGAGACAGAUCUAGAGGUUGGUAGGAGUCGGUUGGUGACUCAAUGGGAGCCCCGGUCGUCGAUGCUAUGACCUGGUCAGACUUUGUGACCAGAUUCAGGACGCAGUUCGCGCCAGCUAUAGAGCUUUAGCAGCUGGCCAAGUAGUUUUUGGACAUGAGACAGACUACCGAGACUGUGGCAGAGUUCACCGCCAAGUUCUAGGAGAGGGCUCUAUUGGUGCCCCAGUAUACAGGCGAUGAGGAUAUCAAGAGGACCCGCUAUCACGACAUGUUGAGAGCCGACAUCAGGGAGCAUGUCAGCUUCUCAGCAUGACCGACCUUGGACUUUAUGAUGGCCAAGGCGAGGGAGAGGGAGAUCGAUUUGGAGCACCUCAGGAAGAGGAAGGCUAAGACUAGGCAGGCUGCAGGGGUUUUUAGGAAGAAACCCAAGAGAUUCGACUCCCGGUCGAAGGGCCAACUGGGCCGAGAACGCUAUGGAAAAUGCGGUCGGUCACAUGAGGGAGCAUGUCGAACUCGGUCAGGUUCUGGCUGCUAUAAGUGUGGCAAGGCUGCACAUUUUUGCAGGGAUUGUACUGCCCCCGCCCUCACAAUGCAGAUGACAGACCUGAUUUGCUUUCAUUACAAUCAGAGGGGCUACAAGAAGGCCAAUUGCCCUAGAUUGAUAGCAACGACAACAGCAGUGCCAGCAGCGACACUGACCCCAAUAGCAGCGCGGGUUACGGAUGGCCGAAAGGCCAAGGUAGAGGCUCCAGUGGUGCGAAGCAGAGCAUUUUAGUUGACAGCCGAGGAGGCACGCGCUGCACCCGAUGUGGUGUCGGGUACGGUUUCUUCUCAUAUUUCUUUAUGUUAUGUCGUUGUGAUUUUGAUAUGUUAUGUGUAUGAUGUGUUUAGGAUCGUUCCAUGUGAACGGUAUCCCGGUUCAGGUGUUGUUUGACUUGGGUGCUACCCGAUCAUUUGUUUCUCUUGCGCUCAUCAAGAAGUUUCAUGAGUCUUCGGGCAUGUUGGAUUGUCAUCUAGAGGUCGAGAUUGCGUACGACCGGUUAGUGCGAGCAUCGGAGGUCUACCAGGAUUGUGUAUUGAGGCUGUUCGAGGAACGUUACCUGGUAGAAUUAGUUCCCAUACCUUUGCGGGGGAACAAGAUUAUUAUUGGUAUGGAUUGGCUAAGCCCCAAUGGGGCAGUGAUCGACUGUGCUUAGUAGUUGGUGCGGAUCAGGACCCCAAAGGGGGGAGAGCUGGUGAUCCAGGGCGAGAGGCCAUAGGGAGGACCAACUUUAUGUUCCGCAACGAGGGCGAGGCGCUAACUCUAGCAGGGUUGCGCAAGAUUUGUCGCCUAUGUUAUGGAUACCCGGGAGGCGGGUAAGGCGAUGGUGGGUGAUUUGCCCGUGGUAUGGGAGUUUGCGGAUGUAUUCCCUGAGGAGUUGCCUGGGAUACCUCUGGAGAGGCAGGGGGGGGGGCGGANNNNNNNNNNNNNNNNNNNNNNNNNNNNNNNNUAGCCACCGUAUCGGUUGGCUCCUCCUGAGAUGUAGGAGUUGUCUACACAGCUGCAGGAGCUGUUGGACAAGGGAUUCAUCAGACCGAGUACUUCACCUUAGGGAGACCCGAUUCUAUUUGUGAAGAAGAAGGACGGUUCGCAUCAGAUGUGUAUAGAUUAUCGGGAGCUGAAUAAGGUAACGGUGAAGAACCGUUACCCACUCCCGAGGAUUGAUGAUCUCUUUGACCAGCUACAGGGAGCGUCUUGGCUCUCCAAGAUUGAUCUGCGUUCAGGAUAUUAUCAGAUGAGGGUCAGAGAGGAGGAUGUGCAGAAGACUGCGUUCCGGACGCGCUAUGGUCACUAUGAGUUCGUGGUGAUGCCUUUCGGGCACACCAAUGCUCUUGCCGUGUUCAUGGAUCUCAUGAACCAUGUGUGCAGACCGAUGUUGGAUCGGUCUGUGAUAGUUUUCAUCGAUGACAUCUUGGUUUAUUCCAGGACGCGAGAGCAGCAUGAGGAGAAUUUGCGGGAAGUUUUGGAUACAUUGAGGAGAAAGGACUUGUAUGCUAAGUUCUCCAAGUGUGAGUUCUGGUUGCGCGAAGUGUAGUUUCUUGGGCACCUUGUCAACCAGGACGGGAUUUCGAUGGAUCCAGCCAAGGUACAGGCCGUGAUGAGGUGGGAAGUCCCGAAGUCUCCAUCUGAGAUUCAGAGCUUCCUGGGGAUGGCAGGCUACUAUCGAAGAUUCAUCCAGGACUUCUCCAAGAUAGUCGUACCUUUGACUAAGCUAACAAGGAAAGUCGUGGUCUUUUGCUGGGGGCCUGAACAGCAGGCUGCAUUUGAGACAUUGAGAUAGUGAUUGUGCGAGGCGCCAAUCUUAGCCCUGCCGGAGGGAAUGGAGGAUUUUGUAGUUUACUGCGAUGCGUCCAUCUUGGGUUUGGGCGCGGUAUUGAUGCAGAGAGGGCAUGUUAUAGCUUACGCUUCGAGGCAGCUGAAGCCUCAUAAGGCGAACUACCAGACGCAUGAUUUGGAGCUGGGGGCGGUUCCUCUUUCAACUAUGAUAGCCGAGGGUUGUUAACCCUUCACUGUAGGGUGUGGGUCCCCUGUCAUGGAGGCGUGAGUCAGAUAUUGAUGGAGGAGGCGCACAAAUCCAGGUUUUCUAUUCAUCCAGGGGCGACGAAGAUGUAUAGGGAUCUUCGUCUCGACUAUUGGUGGCCCUGCAUGAAGCGGGACGUAGCAUAGUAUGUGGAGCAGUGCUUGACCUACAGCAAGGUCAAGGCCGAACAUCAGAGGCCACACGGAAAGAUGCAGACGUUGGAUAUUCCCAUGUGGAAAUGGGAAAAUAUCACCAUGGAGUUCAUCACCAAACUUCCCAAGAUCGGGCGGGGAGUGGAUUCCAUAUCGGUCAUUGUGGAUCGGUUGACCAAGAACGCCCAUUUUAUCCCGAUCCAGGAGAGUAUAUCGGCUGAGAAGUUAGCCGGCAUCUACAUUCGAGAGGUGGUGGCACGGCACAGCAUGCCAGUGUCAGUGAUUUCAGACAGAGACGUGCGGUUUACUUCCAAGUUCUGGAAAAAAUUCCACGACGAGUUGGGUACUCGCCUCCACUUUAGCAUCGCUUUUCAUCCGCAGACGGAUAGUCAGAGCGAGCAGACCAUCCAGACUCUAGAGGAUAUGUUGCGAGCAUGUGUGCUAGGCUUUGGUGGUAGCUGGGAUACUUACCUCCCAUUGGCUGAAUUCCCCUACAACAACAGCUACCACGCGAGAAUCGAUUGUCCUCCCUUUGAGAUGUUAUACGGGAGGAAGUACAGGACCCCGAUAUGUUGUGGUGAGGUUGGCUAGAGGGUCAUGGGGAGCACCGAGGUGGUGCUCAAGAUGACAGAUAGGAUCCAGCAGGUCAGGAGCAGGCUCUAGAGUGCACAGAGUCGGCAGAAAAGUUAUGCCACAAGCGCCGUUCAGACCUGGAAUUCUAGGUCGGGGAUAUGGUUCUCCUGAAGGUGUCGCCUUGGAAAGGCGUCAUUCGAUUCAGGAAGAGGGGAAAGCUGGGCCCCAGGUACAUUGGAACCUUCAGGGUUAUAGCCCGAGUGGGCAGGGUGGCAUAUCGGCUGGAUUUGCCAGCCAAACUCAAUCAGAUUCAUAGCACUUUCCACGUCUCCCAGCUGCGGAAGUGUCUGGUGGACGACUUGGUGGUGGUGCCCCUAGAGGAUAUUCAGGUUGAUGACAUCCUGAACUACAUUGAGCGGCCUAUGGCAAUCCUUGACCAGAAGAUAAAAGACUUGAGGAACCAGAAGGUUGAGCUAGUGAAGGUGUAAUGGCAGCACCGGAAGGGCUCAAAGUGGACGUGGGAGCCGGUGGACGAGAUGAGGGAGCAUUACCCUGAGCUUUCCAGGAUCAAGUAGCAUACUUCGAGGACGAAGUCUAAAAUAAGUGGGGGAUACUUAUAGCACCCGGUUCCUUGUAUGUAUUUCAUUCAAGUGUUUUUCGCAAUUUAGACUAAGACUCAGUGAGUUGAUGGACAACUCAUCGAGUAGUAGCGACUUGGACUCAGGGGUUAAGUGGCGGACUCGUCAAGUCGGCGGCAUAACUCAACGAGUAGACUCUGGCAGGACAAAACCCUAAUCCAAGGGUUUGCACCCUAUUUAAACGUCUUAUUCAGCCUCCCUCGUCCCUUAUGCUCUCAGAACCCCCUCACAUCAAACCCUAAUCGUCCUUGGUGAAGAUCUAAGGCCUUUUUAGUGAUUCUUGGUGGUUUGUGGUGGCAAGAAGGAAGGAGAAGCUUGAGGAACCAAGAGGUUGGCUAAAGGAGUCAAACUUGUGCAUCAUCUCCAGUUCAUGGAAGGUAUAAAGUCGACACCAUGCUCCUUCUUGUAUUAGAUCCAUUUAUGGGGAGAUUUAGGGCUUUUAUAAGCUAUUCUUGGUGACCAACCAUGAUUGCAAGCAUGGUGGGGGUUAAGGUUUCAUAUCCAGGCUCAUUAAAGGGUUAAAAGGCAGAAAGGGACUGCCUUUGCACCCAUGGAAAGCCUCAUGUAACUCAAGAGCUUCUUUUAGGGUCUUUUUAGCUCAUAAUCCAAUGCAUGCACGUAAAGUUGGUAACUUUACAUGCUAGAUCGAUCUUAAGAGCCUAGAUCUAUCAUUUGGGCAAGUGUUGUACAUCAGAAAUCGAGAAAUAAGACUUGGAUGACCUCGACUCGACGAGUUGUUCUUGGGACUCGGCGAGUCUGAGGCUUGACUUCCCUUUUUCUGUUAUGGUUCAAAGGAACCCAGUGAGUGUUCGAAUGGCCUCAGAAGGGUCCGGGGGAGUGACCCAACGCAUUGAACUUAGCCAUAGACCUGGAGUUCAUAGGACUCGAUGAGUGCAUGAGCAGACUCAGUGAGUCCAAGGCAAUCUUCCAACUUUUGAAGAUGAACUCGACGAGUUGUUCAUAUAACUUGGCGAGUCAAGGACAAGACUUGUUUGAAGGACGAGGAUGAACUCGACGAGUUGCUCAUACAACUUGGCAAGUCGGAUGAAGGUUUAUUCGAGGUUGUUUUGGAAGGAGAACUCGUUGUGUCAUUGUUGAACUCGACGAGUAGAGGCGUGAAGAAGGACAGAUGAAAGGAUAGGGACUCGACGAGUUGGAGGCCCAACUCGGCGAGUCAGGUCAACUGGAAGUUGAGUUUGACUUUGACUUUGACUUGGCCAGGGGUAAAAUAGUCAUUUUACCCUAAGAGUAGUUAUCAGUGUCUGACUAAGCGUUUUAUGGGAAUUAUAGCCGGAGGGUCACCGGAGCAGCAGUCAAACAUCUUUCGAUCAGCUUUUCAGCAGUCAGCCUUACAAGUUGACUUACCUUCUAGCAGGGGUGGGUCUAAGGCACCAAUGCCGGCCCACCAGUAGGUGAUUAUGGUUAAGAUGGCUAUCUUUGUGAUAAUUGUCUGGUUUCUAUAUUUGUGCUGAGAAUGUUUUCAGUAGUAGUCGGGCACACUAGCCCUGGUUACCGGUUGAAAGAUACUGAAAACGCUUAUUGGUUGAAAGAUACCGAAGGGGUGGAUAAAACCCAUGCAUGUAUAGUAGUAUGAUUAUGAUAUGUCAUUAUGUGACUCAGUAUGCCUAUGUAUGUUAUUAUGAAGCCAAUAUGUUAUGACUUGUAAUAUGUAAUAGGGAUAGGGGUGAAAUAGUCCCCAGAUACCGGUUGAAAGAUACCGAAGGGGAUAGUAGCUCCCGAUUACCUGUCGAAAGAUACCAAAGGGGAGGAUUGUUCCUGGUUACCAGUUGAAAGAUACCGGAGGGGAGGGUAGUUCCCGGUUACCGGUUGAAAGAUACCGAAGGGGGAGGGUAGCUCCCGGUUACCGGUUGAAAGAUACCGCAGGGGAGGGUAGCUCCCGGUUACCGGUUGAAAGAUACCGAUGAUUUUGUGCUAUGGGUAUGAUGGGGGAACUAACUAAGCUUCGUGCUUACAGUUUCAGUUUUGGUUUCAGGUACCCCUUCGUGCACGGUGAAGGAGCCGGCAGUGUAGCAUUUUGAAAUAUGUUAUGACAUUGACACUUGAGAUUUUGAGAAUUAUUAUAUGUGAUGUUGGUAAUUUAAAAUCGAAAAUUUUGUUUGAAAAUUAACGAUGUUACAAGUUGGUAACAGAGCCUUGGUUUGAGGGAUUCGGAUACACCUUCGGGUAUGUCUGGACUCAAACAGAGAAUUUGAGAAAAGUUUUCAAAAUGAAUGAUUUUUCUAAAAAUGAGUAACAGAAUUUUAAGAGAAAGAGGAAACGAGCAAUGUGUACAAUCAGCCAGCACCCGAACGGUGAUUUCCCAAAAUACCCUUACUUAUGUGUUAUAAUUUGUUAUGAGAUAUGUUAUGCAUGCUAGAGAGUAGGCUAGGUAUUUCAUAUUUUAGGACUAGAGUGGCCUGAUUUGUGAUGCCUUAGCCUAGGAGUUACUGCUAUCUGUGAAUUGCUUUUGAGUAUGUGCGGAGUAAGAGUAUCCAACAGGAAUCCAUUUUUAGAGAAGGAUCUAAGUAGAAGAGUAAUCUAGGAGAGAUACCUAGAUGAGCAUUGAGGAACCUACUAAGAGGGUAGUCAGAUACCCGCGAGGGGUGGAGUUGCUUGAGCUCGAUGAUACCUUUUGAGUAUGAGUAUAGCAAGUAGAGUUGUAACCUAAAGUGGUUAUACGUGUUGAUAGAGAAUAUUCUAUGCCCGAAUGCUACUUGCUUCAUGCUUUGUGGAGCUCUUGAUGAUGGGAGUCAGCUACUAAGUGAAUAUGACGAUAUUCAGGAGGUAGAUGGCUGGCAUCAUGAGGAGUUCUUCAACAGCUGAUGGCGGAGAAGUGUGAGAGCCUAGGAAGAGCCUAAGGAGUGACCCUUGUUAGAUAUGUAUACUGAUAGAGGAAGAGUAUUCACAAGGGAGCAACUAGGUAUGACGGCAUUGAUGAUUGAGGAGGUUGAGCAGCUACUUAGGAAAUCUGGGAUGAUCCAUGUAGAAAGUGUGGGUAGAUGUGGCAAGUAGUAUGCGCCCGUACUACUGAAAGAAGAGGACCCAUACUCGAUACAGGGAAAAUUCUUGAGGAUCUAAGUAGCAGAUGAGAGGUGAUCACAUGGUUUUAGUACCAUGAUCCGUAGCAGAUGAGAGGUGAUCACAUGGUUCGAGUACCAUGAUCCGUAGCAGAUGAGGGGUCAUAACGUGGUUCGAGUACCAUGAUUCGUGGCGGUUAGUGCUUCUGGUGUUACCAGUUAGUCCAUUGUCAUUAAUUAGACUGAGAUCAGAUGUGAUAGAGUGUGGAGCCAGAGGGCCAUGUUGAACGAGUUUCAAGGGAGCACACCAUGAGGGGGAAAUCGAGUUGGUUUCUGAGAAAGUUAGAUGAGAUGACAACUGGAGUCGCAAGACUUGGGAAUGAGUAGAGGUGGUACUUCAUGGAGAAUUAUGGGUUGAGCUACACAGUUAGCCGAUAGUGGGUUUACCACUUCCUAUGACCGUAGUGUGCUAUUUUCUAUGAGGAGCAGAAGGGAUACGAGUUUCUGAGUUGGAGGUAAACCCUGUGGGGUAGCAAGUGUUGUUACCUUUUCACCAGAGUAUUUGGGCAGUAUGUUUGCUGCGAGGUAUCCUUAUACCAGGAAAGAGUCAUUAGUGGGACUAAGAUGGAUGAGAACAAGGAGGUGCCUUGUUGGGGGAAAAGUACUUUUAUUAGCAGUUUUCAGUGGAAAAGGGGUAUAUUGGGGCGGUGGCCAUCAUGGUUUAUGUUGUGUAUCCACAACGAGAAUGAGGUAUGUGCUUUUAUGAUUAUUCCCGAUUUGGGAGGCGUGUCGAGGAGUUAGAGUCGAAGUAUGUGAAAGGACACUAUUUCCAAAUUAGAUACAGAUUGGAUUCAGAACAAUGGGGUUUCUGGCGGUGUGUCAGUCUGAGGCCUCAAGAUGCCUAGAGGCAGUCGCGUGGGGAGUAUUUUGAGAUUUCGUCAGGAUGGGACAUAUGGAGAUUGGUUGGUUUCCUUUGCGAAGGCCCUGGGAUGAUUGUGUAAUACAUUCAAGAGUCAAGUGUGACAUAAUUGGUGAGACAAUCCACUGAUUAGAUUGUGGAUGUGCCAAUUGGUGAUUGUUCGAACCUUGAGUGGGGGAGAACUAGUUUUCCAGUAAGAAGAUCAGUGAUUCGUUCAAGUGUGGUUAGAGAGCGGUUAUCGAGACCUACGGUUCGAAUACAGGAUACCAGGGUUAUUGGUAGCCGAGGCGAAGUGCAGAGCAAGGUAAUGCAAGAUGUACAUGUUCAGGAAAGGACGAGUGUCCUCACCGCAGGUGGCCGUUGGACAGAUACCAUGUGGUGAUUAUAAAUUCUUCAAGGUUGUAAUGGUAAAAUUUGAGGCGAUUGGGUCAAAUGAUAGCUUCGGCGGUGAAGAACUCCGGGCUUACCGUACGGGUUGUUAUACGCAUUUUGGAAAGGGUAGAAGUGGAUUGGGCAACCAACUCCAGGGCCAAUAUGUGUAUACUUGCAUGGGUUUGGAGCAAUAGAGGAGGAAGUUUUGGAUGUUCCUCAACGUGUUCUGAGUCGUUGACGAUUCAUCCAUAAGAGUUGGAAUAUUCCGAAGUUGUGUGCUGUGGGGAAAUGAAGAUUAGAUACGAGAUUAUUUAAAAUGUGAAUUGUAGUAAGAGAAGAAGUUUUGUCAUGAAGGUAGCCGUCAGGAGUAGUGAUGUUUAUUUCUGGAUGGGUGUGUGAUCAUCUGUCUAUUAUUAUCCGCGGAACAUGGGUUAAUGGAUGUAGAGUGUGGCGUCGACUAGAGAAUGAGACCGUGGGAUGAUAAGAGAAAGUACUGUAAGGGUGCAGGGAGUUGCAUCAUCCUUGAGUUAGUACCAAAGGGUGUGGUGAUACUACGGUGAGUCGUAGUAUUCACUAGUUAGCGAGAGGGUGUGGUGACACUACGGGGAGCCGUAGUCUUCACCAGUUAGCAAGAGGGUGUGGUGAAAUCGCGGGGAGCCAUAGUAUCUACCAGGCAGCAAGAUGGUGUGGCGUACUUUAGGGGGGCGUGGUCCUUGCCAUGUAGUGAGGGAGCAUCAUGGAACUGCGGGGAGCCGUAGCUUCCACUGAUCAGAGGGAGAGCGUUGUGGAAUUACGGGGAGCUGUAGUUUUCACCAGCCAUAGCAUGACGCAGAAGAGUUCUUAGGCUUGUGUAGCCUCAUCAAUUGAGUCUGUAGGAUCUUGGUGGUUGAACCAAGGGAGAGACCGGGGUCUCCAUAUUUGUCUGGGAUCGUUAUAUUCUAUGUUGAGUCAUGGUUAUCAAAACCGAAGAGAAUUGGAGAAGUGGUGUACGUGUGGAUUGCGAAUCUUGGGUCACGAGUGGGGUACAAGAUUGGAAUUGAGUGGCUCCAAUUCUGUUGUUGAAUUCGACUCUCUAGCUUGAGUCUGGAUUCGUUCGUGUGUUUAGUAGGCAAUAUGAGGUUUCAGAUUCGUAGAUGGGUUCAUUUUGAGAAGUUUUGUUCUCCAUCAGAUGUAAUAGACUAGAGUGAGUUAGUACGUCUGUAUGGGAAGAACCGCGAAACGCAUGGAAUCAGUGGUUGGUAGAUGACAGAGGUCGAAGGUGAGACGAUAUCAGAUAAGUUGUAGUAUUCUCUUGGGAUAAAGCAAACUACGUAACUUGUGGUUCGCGAUGAGCUGAGAUAACUAUUGUGAGCAGGAGGGCUGUAAAUUUAUUUUAUUGGGUGUGUAAGGGGUAGCCCUUGGAUGUUCAACUGUUGGGCAGGAGCUGACCUGGUACUCAAAGUUAGGAGCGUGUUAUCCGAGUCUGUUAUUCGAUGAGAGAUUAUCAGGGUGAUAUUUUGCAUGAGCGGUCUGUCGGGGAGACAGACCACUAUAGUUUCCAAUUCCGGAGAGUUAGAGCAGGUUCCUUCACGAAAAAACGGGUCGGUCCUUCUUCGGCUUGCGAAAUUUCUAUUUGGUCUCGGAUGUCAUGGGAGAAGGAUCAUUGAAUAUUAAGAGAUUUUCCGGUUGUGCUUCUUGGGUUAUUUGUUUCGAUCUAUGUGAAGAAAAGGAUCGAUUUCAAGGGCGAAAUCUAAUUUAAGUGGGGGAGAAUUGUAACAUCCUGCUCCAGAUUUUUUUGUGAUUUAAGGCCCGUGGGCCUUAAUCCGAGUAUGACAAGAUUUUGAGGCUUUGAAGAAGGAAGGUUUAGGCCUUUUGGGUUAUAGGUAAGGUAGGUUGUGUGAUAAAAGAGUUCGGUUUGUGCUUUAGAGCCAAAAUGCAUUAUUAAAGGAGCUUGUGCGGGCUUUUCAUGAAUUUUGGAUCUAAGUUUGAGUGGGUUUCAAGAGGAAUAAAGUUGAUAGAAGUGUAGGGAUUUUUGUUACCUUCUCAUGGAUAUAAGGAUCGUCAUAAACGGAUUUAUAACGAAGAAGUUAUGGCCUUCAGAAGUUUUGAGGUUUGCAGGCUUAGCCGAGUACGCUGGGCGUACACAAAGCGUACGAUGGGCGUAAUUUUGGAGUAUGCUGGGCAUACUAACCAGGGGUGGUCGCGAAUGUUCUUCAAAGUACGCUGGGCAUACUAUAUGAAUGUUGGGCCCAUGCCAAUCAAACCUGCACACUAUUUUAGGGUCUUGGACCCUAUUUAAGCUCCUUAUCUCAUAACCUAACCCUAAUAUUUUCAGCCUCCAUCCCUCUAAACUCUAGAAAUCGACCCUAAGCCUCCAUUUGAGUGAUUCUUGAGCAUUUUGGUGAUUUGGUGAGUUUUUGGUACAUAUUCUGGAAGAAGGAGUUCCUUGAGGAAGCAUUGCUUGGCUUGGAGCUUGUGGAUCCAAGCCCUAAUCAUGUUGAUCUAGCUCCAGAAAGAAUAAAGUUUGAAUCUUGGUGGCUUUCUCAUGUAGAUCUAGUGGGGUGAUCACUUGUUGUGUUUGGCUUUUGAAGAAGAAUGAGCUUUGAAAGAGAAUAACUUGAGCACCUAGCUUUUGGAUCUAUGUUCUUCUCUUCUUGGUGCAUCUUCCAGAGAUAUCAAGUUUUGAACUUGCAUAUUGUUGUGCUAGUUUUUGUUUUUGGUCCAUUUUAGGGAUUUUGGUCCCAAAGCUUGAAGCUUUAUGAGUUGUUGAACUCCAAAGCAUAAUAUAUGUCCCUUUGAGUAUAUUUAGUGGUGUUAUGUCAUACAAAUUCAAUCUUGGUCAUUGGAAUGAAGCCAUGCAUGAGAUAAGAGGUUUUUGAGAUAAGGAAGUGAGUGUUUUGGGUGUUUGUGACCUUUCUAGCCAAGCAAAGGCUUAAAGUCACAGAUUUAUGGAGUAAGUGCCAUUAGGGAGUCCAGAUCUGGGGAUUGAGGUAAUGUCUUAACUGUUUAAGACCAAAUGAGUAGAAAGAGUGAAUAUGAGGAGUACACCAAGCGUAAUUCCUGUACACCCCGCAUACAGCCCCAGUGUCACCGAUGGCCAAUAUGGAUUCGUGAAUACGCUGAGCGUGCCAAGAGAGGUACGCCCCAUGUAACCUCACUGUGGACUUUAGGGCUUAGUCUCAUUUUGGGCCUUGAGUGUUGGACCUGGAGUUUGGAUGUGUUACAAUAGAGUCUUGGACCAAAGGAUUAUAUAUAUGUGCUUUGGGCCCUUGAGUUGGGCUUGCCAUUAGAUAUGAGAGAGUUAGGCCUCGGAGGAGCCCGUUUAUUAUUGGGCCUUGGUGGGCCCAAUGGGUUUUAGGUCAUUGAUGGGCUGGGUAGUGGACUACCUUUAGACCUAAUGAGCGAGAGUUGAGAAUUAGUUCCUAAUUGGGAUAAUUGUGGUUUUGGCACAAAGUUAGGGAUUCGUGGCAACAACGUUUAUAGGGACUAUUCAUUAUCCGAGGUGAGUGUUCUCACUAUACUUUACCUAGAGUGGUAAUUAUGUGUGACUAGAGGGUCUUAUGUGCUUGCCUGAGUUAUGCAAUUUAUGUGUGAUAUGUGUUGUGUGCUAUAUUAUGUGAUAUUUAGACUGGACCAAAUGGUCCAAUGAACUGUUUUAUAUUAUGACCGGACCGGAGGGUCAAUGAACGGUGUUAUAUUAUAAUCGGACCGUAGGGUCCAACGAGCUAUGCGAUCGGAGGGUCCUCACUUAGACCAGACAGGAGGAUCCAACGAGUAGUGAGACCAGAGGGUUCUCAUCCAGACUGGACCAGAGGGUCCAACGACCCAUGGAACUGAAGGGUCCCACUGAGACACAACGGACCAGAGGGUCCUACAGAGUUAUAGCCUCGAGUGGCUAAUAUGUGUAUGUGGUAUUUUGGGGAACUCACUAAGCUUCGAGCUUAACGUGUUCUGUGUUAUAUGUUUCAGGUUCUUAUCAGGAUCGCGGGAAGGCGGCGGCUCGAUUGUACACACAAGAGAAAAGAUUCAUGAAUGAGGAUCCUGGAUUUUGAUAAUUACUUUUGAAAACAAUUUUGAAAUACGUUAUGACAUCGACACUUGAGAUUUUGAGAAUUAUUAUAUGUGAUGUUGGUAAUUUAAAAUCGAAAAUUUUGUUUGAAAAUUUAUAGUGUUACAUUUAGUUUCCAAAAACAUUAAUUAUCAAAAUCUAGGAUCCAAGUUGCAAAAGAAAUAAAUGGUUUGGUAUCCUUUAUCUAUCCAUUUGAAUUCAACCCGGUAGAUAUUGAUUAUCAAUUAUAUCUCGGUAUAUAAUUCCUAGAUUUAUGGGAUCGCUAAAAAAAAUUUAAUUAGACAUGUUUGAUCCCAUCUAUGCCUCAGAUUUCUCUUACUUAGGUACCCUUUAUGACAAAAUAUUUCCGAUCAAAUUGACCAAUUUGAAAAACAUGUGUAAUCGACAUGUAACUUGGUUAUAGAAAUCGCGAAUACAUGUCGUCCAUCAAAAGAUAACACUAAGUGGUUAUGCAUCCUUUAUCCCACUAGUGGAUAUAAGAGAUGUGUGAGUAAUCUUCAAAAUUAUUGCAUCGAUUUGAGGUUUGUAAAAAGGGUCUUUAUAUGUUUUAUAAUUAUAGUUUAAAAACAUAUGAUAUCAUGGUUAUUACAUGCAUAUAAUAAACCAUGAUAUCAGUUUUCAAAAGAAAAUCACAUUUAAAGGUUCUAUAUAAAAAACUAGUUUUUAUAUAAUUUGACGUAAUUCAAUUUUAAUAACCGGUAUUAUGUUUGAGUGCAUUUGAACUUUUUUUAUAUCUUUAAUAAAACUUCAUUUUUAUUAAUUAUAUAUUUGGAGUUUGUAUAAGUUACAUAAAUCACCAUUUUAAAACUUAUAAUGUAGUAUUUCACAAUUUGAAGUUAUUAACGAUUUUAUAAAACCAGGUUUUAUUUUAAAAUAAUAACUUCUUACAUCUUAUGUCCAAUUUUGAAAACCCAAACUCCAUGUGAUGUUUAUUUGUCCAAAAUUAUUUUAGCAUGUGAAAAACUAAUUUAUCGACCACACAUAAUAAUUACAUAUAAUAAACAACACAAACAUGCAUAAAAAGACAUGUGCAUAAACAUAACCAACUAUUGACAUUUUUGUGAGCCAACAAAAAAGAUGUCAAGUUCAUUCCUAAAGGGAAAUUUACGGGGACCAAAAAACUUCUUGUAAUGUUGUUAUAGAAGCUCCCACUUGAGUAAACACUCAUUGUUUGCAAAAGAUUGGAAAAACUUCUUGAAGGCUAAAAUUCAACAACUGUCACUAAAAGUCCAACAACCAUUUGUAAAUAGCAUUAGUGACACUUUUCAGAAAGUUUCACUCAAAAUCUUGCACACCUUUUAAACUCAAAAAUUGCUCUUUUGUCUUCAAAAAUGGUUCAAACUUUAUUUUUUGUUACAUUUUUGUACAAAUAAAUUAUUUCUAAAACCUAAUCUAUUACUUUACAAAAAUAAAUAAGAAAACUAAUCUAUUUAGUUUAUUACAUAUCAUAUGAUUAAAUAAAUUAUUACCACCAUUUUUAUAAAACAACCAACACAACAAACACAACAAACACAAUGGUCCUUUGCUAGUUUAUGCACAUCAUAUACAUCAACAUACACAUAAAACAACAUUUGUUUUUCUAAGAGAACUUUAAAUGACAAAAGAUACAUGUUGGUCACAUAAAAUAACAAAUAUAAAGUUGUCAUAGAAAAUAUCUAUGAACAUAUUUUUAUAAAAAAAACAAGUUAUCUAUAUUCUCCAAAAAGUAAGAUUUCUAAAAAAUCAAAAAAAAUCUAACCAACUUGCAAGGUGGCCUUGAUACCAAUUGUUGGCUUUUAGUUCAAAAAUAGAUUCAUAAAUUAGAAAAAUAUGGCAAUGGAAGACUUAAAAUUUUGAAAUAACAUAAACAUUUUAUACCCACCAAGGAUCUUCUUGCAAGUAAUAGAAAGAUUUAAACACAAACCAAAGAAAUAAUGAAGAAAUAACAACCUUUGUUGUUCUUUAGGUCCUAUUGGGAGGUUUGGAAGUUGAUGAAGAAUGUGGAAACUUUGAGACACCAACAACGACUCAAAUUGAUGUAGAUGCUAGUCCAUAAACUCUUAAACCCUUAUGCUUUAAGUUCAUAACCAAUAUGAACUUAAAGAGGGCAUGAAAAAUGCAAGUAUUCUCUUCAUGCAAAAGCAAGACUAGAGAGAGUGAGAGAGAGGGUCAUAGUUUCGACCAUUCUUCAAAAGAGUGACUAGCCAAAAAUGCAAGCCUCAAACCUUGUAUUUAUUGUAAUAACAAGACCCUACCUUUUGAAUAAACUACUCAAUAGACCAUACUCUUAUUUAAAUAAUCAAGGAGCCAUUCUCUCAUUUAAAUAAUCAAAAAGCCAUACUCUUAUUUAAAUAUUCAAAGAGUCAUUCUCUUAUUUAAAUAAUCAAAAAGCCAUACUCUUCCUUGUUGAACCUUAUUUUUACAAAUAAUAAAAGGAAGAAGGAAAAAACUUUAUAUUUUAUAAAACAAAUUUAUAAAAUAUAAACUUUAACUUUUCGGUAAAAUACAAAAAGAAUUUUUUAGUCCAAAAUGUUGUGCAUAACUUAUUAAUUCAUACCAUAAGAAUUAUAUAUAUUGUUACUUGCUAAUGAAAAUUAUUAUUUCCUAGAAAUAAAUAAUGUCCAAUUUAAUUAUAAGAGUUUAUUAAAUAUUUAUUAAAACCAAUUUCUAAUAAAUAAUCAAUUGUAUCAGGUUGUUGUUAGUGUGACCCAUUAGUAUCAUAUGUUAACUACUAAUAUCACUUUAAUAUGACUCUUGAGCAUGCUAGACCUUUCACACCUCCCGUUUUUGGUAGAAGUUCCAUGAGGAACUGUGCAUGGGAUUGCACUUCAGGACAGUUUAUCGGCCAGAGUGAACGGACGAUACAAACCCUUGAGGAUAUGCUAUGGGAAUGUGUCAUUGAUUUUGGUAAGAGUUGGGACUCCUACCUACCUCUUGCGGAGUUCUCCUACAACUACACUUUUUCACUCCAGCAUUGGUGCUCUGCCUUUCGAGCUCUUAUAUGGGCGGAGAUGUCGUACCCCAGUUUGUUCGGGCGAGGUUGGUCAUAGAAUUAAGGGGCGGACCUGUUGGAUUAGUGUCUAAGUCCAUAACUAUAAUUGGUACGUACUUGACCUGAUUGGCAUGGUCCAUUUGGGUUGCAUGGCAUCGGAACAAUUUGGAUAGACUUUUGUUAGAAAAGGAUAAUUAUGAUUUGUUAAUAUAUUAUAACUUCUAAUAUAUUAAUAUGAAAUCAUAUUAUUUAAUUAGUAUUGAUCAAGAAUUAUUUUGGAAUUAAUAUUGUGAUCAAAAGGAGACUAAUUAAAUAUAUGGGGAUUGAUUGUGUAAAUCAUUCAUUCUUAUAUAUGUGGGCUUAUGAUCCAUAGUUCUUCAUGUUGGGCUAAAACCAUGGAGUAACCCAUGGAUACUCCAUAGAGGUUUUAACCCAUGGAGCAUGAAGAAUAUGGAAAUACAUGAGUUACAUGGUGUAACCCUAAUAGCCACCAUAUAUAAGGAACCAUUGGCUCAAGAAAUUAGCACUAGUGUGUGUACACAUGAGGGCUAGCAAAUUUGAGCAUAUGAACCUUUUCUCUCAAGUUACUCCAAGAUGUUGGUGUAACAACGUAAAUUUCAAAACCAAUUUUUUUCAUUUUUCAUCAACCAAGUGCAUAUAAAACAUUCUCAAAUAUUUCCAACCGCAGUUUUUAAGACAUAACAUAUCCCAAGAUCAUAAAAAUCAAACUCUCUCUCUCUCUCUCUCUCUGGUGUGUACGAAUCACGCCGGCACCUUCCCACGGUCUUCGCUAAUACCUGAAACACAUAACACAACAACUGUAAGGAUAAUUGCUUAGUGAGUUCCCCAAAAUACCGCAUACAACACAUACGCCACUUGAGGCUAUAAUACGACCCUCCGGUCGAUGUGUCUCAGCGGGAACCUCCAAUCCCGUAGCUCGUUUGACCCUCUGGUUCGGUCAUAGCUCGUUGGACCAUCCGGUCCGGUCUAUAACAUCAUACAACAUACAUAUAUCACAUAGCACAUAAUUUCAUACGUAACACAUAAGACCCUCUGGUCAACACAUAAUACCACUCUAGGUAACGUAUAGUGAGAAGACUCACCUCAAGUGUCUCGGUAUAUCGUUGACUCGGUAGAAAUGUGAUCUAGCCUCCGCCUAAUCACAUAAAGUAAAUCCUCUCAUAAAUAUAACUAUACUCAAACCUUUCUUAACACCCUCAGAAGGGUAAAAGACCAUUUUACCCCUUUCUUGGCUUAAAGGUCUCACUGUUAACCAAACCCUAAAAGUCAACAAAAUUCAACGGUCAAACUUUGACCCGAAUCGUCGAGUGCACUUGGGCAACUCAGCGAGUCUACACGUGUCCACUGACUCUCUUAAUCCUUCUCCUGGCACGUCGAGUCCUUCCCCUUACUCGACAAGUCACACCUGGCAUGAAUCGCGGGGCCACCCCGACUCAACUCACCGAGUCUCAAGAACAACUCGGCGAGUUCCGCCUUGAACUCCAGUCCCCUAACUCUCCCUGAUUCACCGAGUUAUUUCCCCAACUCGGCAAGUCUACUCACUGAGUGAUUUACCGGAAACCCUCAUCCAACUCACCGACUCUGAUCUUUGGACUCGGUGAGUUCAUGCCAUGCACAAACUCCAUAGACCUCCUGAGGUCAGAUCUGUUCCUUAAAUUCAUAGAUCUGGCCUUCUCAAGCAUGAUAAUCACGUAAAGUUCCGACCUUGACACUCAUAAAAUAUCUAAAUGGUCUUAACAUGGUGAUUUAGCCCCAAAAAUGACAUCCCAAGCUCAUGGCUCCCAAAAUAACUCAUAAAGCUCCAAGGGUUAAGGUCUCUGGACCUCUUUGGGUCCAGAUCCAAAGCAUAGAAUCGAGAAGGGACCAAUUGUUCCACUUAUCCAUCCUCUAAAGGGGGUUAGAAAACCCUAACUCUAUGAAUCAACACCAAAACUGAAGAAGGUCUGAACAAAUACCUCAAUAUGGUCUCUAUGAACUCAGAAGUCACCAAAAUCGCACCUCCUUCAGCCUCCUCUUGCCUUGGUCACCUCUUUCUUGCAAAUACACCAACAAAAGGAUCAAGAAUGGCCUCUCCUUCCUCACAAACGCUCUAGAUCUCUUAGGGAUUCUCUCUGGGGUUUCGUAGCCACAAAUGACGGCCCUAAGGGCCUUUAAAUAGGUCCCAAACCCAGAAAAUUAGUGUUUCAUUAAACAGGGUGGACUCGCCGAGUCCACUCAUGAACUCGCCGAGUCCGACUAUGAACCUGGAUACGAAUUCGCGACCAUACUCGGCGAGUUGAAACACCAACUCGCCGAGUCUCCUCACUACGUCCAAAAAUAAAGGAAUAAAAUAUUAUACCUGGGAAUCCGGAUGUUACAAUUCUCCCCCACAAGAAUUAGACUUCGCCCUCGAAGUCUUACUCUACAAACAACUCUGGAUGCGGCUCCCGCAUCUCACGCUUCGACUCCCAAGUCAACUCUGACCUUUUCCGAUGUUGCCACUGGACCUGCACCAGAGGCACCUCCUUGUUCCUCAAAACCUUGCUCUUCCGAUCCCUAAUCGCCACNACCACUACCAACUCGUCGGCUAUACACUUUCGCAGCUGCGACACGUGGAAAGUGUCAUGAAUCCGACCCAACUCUGCUGGUAACUCCAAACGGUAGGCUACCCUACCUACCCUUGCGAUCACCUUGAAAGGACCAAUAUACCGGGGCCCCAUUUUUCCCCUCUUCCUGAAUCGAAUCACUCCUUUCCAAGGAGAGACCUUCAGGAGCACGAAGUCGCCGACCUGAAACUCGAGCUCGGACCGGCGUCUGUCCGCAUAACUCUUCUAACGACUCUGAGCGGUCAACAACCUCUGUCUGACCUGCUGAAUCUAAUGUGUCAUCUGAAGCACAAUCUCGGUACUACCCAUCACACGCUGCCCUACUUCUCCCUAGCAAAUGGGGGACCGAAACCUCCUCCCAUACAACAGCUCAAAGGGCGGCAUACCAAUGCUCGAAUGAUGGUUGUUGUUGUAGGAAAACUCUACCAAGGGAAAAUACGUGUCCCAACUCCCGCCGAAAUCCAACACACAUGCUCGGAGCAUGUCCUCGAGCGUCUAAAUCGUCCACUCACUCUGCCCGUCAGUCUGUGGGUGGUAUACGGUACUAAAAUGCAGUUUCGUACCCAAUUCCUCAUGAAACUUCUUCCAGAAUCUGGAAGUGAAACGUACAUCUCGAUCUGAGACAAUCGAGAUCUGCACUCCAAGCCACGAUACCACCUCUCUCACGUACAUCUUUGCCAACCUCUCUACGGAAGAGCUCUCACUGAUAACCAUGAAGUGAGUGCUUUUUGUCAACCUGUCCACAAUCACCCAAAUUGCAUCGACACCCCUCGCAGUCCUUGGCAAUUUGGUGAUGAAAUCCAUGGUAAUCUGUUCCCAUUUCCACUUGGGGAUCUCUAACGGUUGCAUCUUACCAUGUGGACGCUGGUGCACGACCUUAACCCUGCGACAGGUCAAGCAUCUCUCUAUAAACCAGGCAACAUCCCUUUUCAUACAAGGCCACCAAUACUCCCUUUUUAGGUCCAAAUACAUCUUAGUGGCCCCGGGAUGGAUCGAGAACUUCGAUCGAUGAGCCUCUUCCAUCAAAAUGGUAUGCGUUCCGCCCACAGACGGUACCCAUAUCUGACCCUGAAAUGUCAUAAGCCCCCGGGUGGUAUAGGAUCUCACAAUCAUAAUCCUUGACCACAUCCAACCACCUCCUAUGGUGUAUAUUCAGGUUGGGCUGAUCCAUCAAAUACUUCAAGCUCUUGUGGUCCGUGUAUAUCGUACACCGAACCCCAUAUAGAUAAUGUCGCCAGAUCUUGAGGGCGAACACUACCGCUCCUAAUUCCAAAUCAUGAGUGGGAUACCUCGACUCAUGAGGCUUAAGCUGCCUCGAUGCAUAUGCUAUCACAUGCCCCCUCUGCGUAAGCACCACUUCCAAUCCGGAUAUCGAUGCAUCACAAUAUACCACAAAAUCCUCCAUCCCUUCCGGAAGGGCUAAAACUAGGGUUUCGCAUAAUUUUUGGCGAAGUGUCUCGAACGAGGUCUGCUGUUCCGGACCCCAAGAAAAUGCAUCACCCUUCCGGGUCAACUUGGUGAGUGGCAUGGCGAUCUUGGAGAAAUCGUUAAUAAAUCUCUGAUAAUAGUUGGCCAAACCUAGAAAGCUCCUGAUCUCGGUGGGUGAUCUCGGCACCUCCCACCUCAUGACCGCCUCAAUCUUAGCCGGAUCGACCAAUAUCCCAUUCUGGUUAACGAGAUGCCCCAAAAACUGAACCUCUCGUAACCAGAACUCACAUUCGGAGAACUUGGAAUAAAGCCUCUCCGAUCUCAGAACUUCGAGGAUCUCCCUCAAAUGCUCCUCAUGCUGCUCUCUGGAUCUUGAAUACACCAAUAUGUCGUCGAUGAACACAAUCACCGAGCGAUCCAACAUCGGUCUGCACACUCUGUGUUGGGUUAUGUGCAUUCUAACACUUCCUAAGUGUACAUGCAACCCUAAAUACCUUGGAUCUAUGUUUUCUCUAUUAUACAUGCAAAUAAGAACAUCCAAGGUAUUAUCCUAAUCUAGCAUACAAAAACUAUGAAUGUAACAAGAUAGAAUACAUACCUCUUGAUGUAGCUUGAUGUCUUCAAGCUUUAAGAGCUUAGCCCCAAUAGUGUGGAAGCCUCAAGUGGAAUCACAAAUCACCAAGACACCUUGGAAUACUUUAGAGAAUAUGAUUACUUGGUUCUCUCUAGUGAAAUUGGCUAGCCCUUCUUUAGUGUAUCCACACUAGUGCCAAUUUCACCAACCAAAGACAUCUUUAUAUAGUAUGGAGGAUUAGGGUUAAACCCUAAUACCCAUGACCUUUCAUUUCCUAGGAUCCAUGGGUUAAACACUCCAUGGACUAUCCAUGAAAGCUUAGCCCAACCUAAAUGAACUUGGCCCAUUCCAUAUAUAUAAGAGUCCAUAUUUAAUUAGUUCCUUUUGAUCACUUAAUUAAUUAUAAAUUAAUUCUUGAUCAAUACUAAUUAAAUAAUAUGAUUCCAUAUUAAUAUAUUAGAACUUAUAAUAUAUUAAUAUUAAUCAUAAACAUACUAUUCUCAAAAGAUUAUCCAUAUAAAUUGUGUCGGUGAAGUGCAACCCAAAUGGACCAUGCCGGGUCGGGUCAAGUACAUACCAAAUAUAGUUAUGGACUUAGACAUUAAUCCAACAGUCUCCCACUUGGAUAAGUCUAAAACUAUUAUUGCGUAUGACUUCAAACCUAACUGGCAAUCGUAGCUCUUAAAGCUGCUGUCGAACUCUGAUCUUGUCAACGAACUUGUCCAUUAGAUAAGGGAUCAUAUAUUCCUCCAUUCUAGAUAUCAUAUGGACUGAGACAUGGAUUAUAAUCAUUCUCUCUGUCCAUUUGUUGUUUCCCGAUUUCCGAUUUAUGACGACUGACUAAUUGAACAAAUCAAAUCAGUCCUGGCCCGGCCGAGCACUUCCAUUUGUCAUCAUCAAAUCAUCGAGGGGCCCACAGAUAUCGCUUUUAUCCCGAAGGUAAAAGGAAUGGAUAAACUUCGACUCAUAUGGCUUGUUCUACUACUUGUUGAAUCAUACACAAAGGCACGUUUUAUAGCACCGAGUUACCAAAUGCGUUUUCGUGCAAUCAAUGUACAACCAACUCAUAGUAACAACUCAUAUCUCUAGGUUUGAAGAAUAUAAGAUAUUAUCGUCUCAUGAUCACUCGUGAUAAAAUCCAUGAAGUGAUUCCAAUGAGCGCGGGUUGAAUCCAAUACUCAGAACUUAUGAGCACUCAUGAGUGUUGUAGCCCUUUGUCCAACACCUUAGACCUCUACAAGCCAACCCAUGACAGUCUUAAUUCAUAUCUACUUCCAACAUAUGACCGACUGUGGAUGGUUUGAAUAACUUAGUCAUUCCGGAAGAAUAACCUAGUUUAUUCGGGAAGUCAAAACAUGCAAAGUGAAACACAAUAAUAAUUGAAUCCAAUAUGGUAUCAACCCUUUGAACAUAAAUAAAACACCUUUUAUUUAUCACCAUAUGAUUACACAUUAUUCAUUGUAUACUGUUUCAGCUAUCAACUUUAUUCUUGAAUUUAAAACAAUAGUUGUCCCAUGCUCCAAGCAUGUACACUAUGUUUUCUUAAACACUAGUCAUGCCACACACCAAGUAUGCAUACUAUGUUUGUCUAUGAUCUUUACUUUGUGAACUAGAUCAAUUGAACAUAACUUCAAUGAUUCUCUUUUCACACUCCCAAAUCCUUACUGCAAAUGCAAGAAUUCCAAAUUCAUGCCAUUUACUGAAAUCUGUUAGAUUCUAAACUUAUAUGCAUUGAUCCUCUUGUAAUGAUUAUGCACAAAGUCACAAAGACUUGGCAACAAUCAUUACAGAGUAUUCCAAAGGAGAUCAACUCCUUGGAAAUAUCCUUCUUGCAUUAAGUUUCCUUAAUCUUACACAGAUUGAAAAUUCUAACUUUGAAACAUUUCCAGAUUCCAUUUUGACUAUCACUUCUGAACAAGAGUUGCCUCCUUACAGAUUAUGUCAAUAUGGUCCUUCCAGAAUUAUCACUAUACUUCCAAUUGUCCUUGAGUAACCAAUCUUUGGUAAACCUUAGAUUGUCCUCGACAAUUGUUUAAUCCUUUUAGUCAUAUCCAGUUCUAAACCUUUUCCCUUCUUAAUGCCCCAGGCAUUUGGAAAAUUUUAGAACGGAUGAAUAUAGCACAUGUAAUCGAUCCUAUAUCCGAAGCAUAUGGGACACGAUUCAUGAUGUCUUACAUAAAGACUAAACCAGUCUUUUGCUAUAAUAUUUCCAUUUCAAUUUGCCAAGUUCUCAUAAUUCAGAUUAUGAAAAGGGAUGCCGUAAUCAUAAUCGAAUUUUAGAACGCAAAUAAUGGACCCAUAUACAGAAUUUCCUUAUGUUGAGCCAUUCCAACAUGAAAUUCAUAUAUAUCCUUGACUAAAUGAUUAAAACCUCACGAUCUAAGCUUAUAGAUUUGAGAUGAAGCAUAAUUUCCUCUCCCUUAAUUAUAGCAAAACAACUUUUUCCCAAUUGAAACUUUUGUUUUCUAUAAUUAACAUUGCUAACUUGCAAUACUUAUCAUAAUUAUCAUGCUCCCACUAACAUGAUGAUUAUUAGCAUAACACUUAUGCUCCCACUAGCUUUGACAUGUACUCAGAAAUCAGCUGGACAGUCUGAAAUUUAGAUUCAUACACCCUUUCCGUAGAUAGCUCACCUGUGUGUCUAAGCAAUUUCAAGAACCAUGAAAAGGGAUACCGUAAUCAUGGUCUCAAUUGCUUAGGCAUUUGCCAUUUCUCACAAGUCCAUGUUAGUGUGCCGGUUAACCACACGCGCUCCACUAACGACUUUUGAAAAUGCAAAUAACACAAUUGAUAUCUUCGUAAAAUCUACUUAGUGAAAGCGUUUCCUCACCAUCAUUUUCAUGAAUCGGAGAGAAACCUUAUGACACUUAGAUUUAUAUGGUGUAUGAGUUCCUACCCAUAUGAAUUUGUCAAACCAUAAUCACAAGACAAAGAUAAUGACAAAUCCAAAACCAUAUGGAUUGAACUCAAUCUUAACUUCUUGCCACCUGGCAGCUCAAGGGCCUGCCAUUGCUUCCAAGUUGUUAUGCAACAAACUGAGAACUCUAAGAACUCAUAUGCAAAGCCAACUUUAACUGGAAUGGGCACAGAUAUGUCAACACGAUAGGUUAUAAACCUCAAGUCGUGUGCUAGUGAAGAACUUUAGGUUUUAUUCUUGAUUAUUUCUUGAGACUUUCAAGACCUUUAAGACUCCCACUGUCCUCUUGACAUAUAAGACUCCCUUGUCAAACAUCCAAGAGAUAGUGCGGAUUCUAAUCAAGAAAAACACUUUACCCAAUUGGCCUAAGUUGGUCUUUGUUUUAUCCAAAACAUCACAACUUACCAAUUUCAAAUGUACAAGAGUAGAAAACUUUUACUCUUACAUUUGACAAGUGUUUUAAACCUUCUUUAAGACAUGUCACUCAAAUGACAAUCUUGGAGUAUGACUCUAAGACUUGUAUUGGAACGAAGUAUGACUCAUCUUCUUGAUUUAACCAUUUCAACAAUUCAAGUUCCUCUUCUUAGUCAUAAGAAUGCACUAAGAUUUCCUUAGAGAACUAAUUUUGAUAUGGUUUCUUAAUCAUUAAGAUGAUCACAAAACUGAUACUAAAGUACUCUCCCAUCUUUUCAGAUUUGAGAAACUUUUAUCCUUCUGCCUUAUUUGAUUCUUCUUAUCGAUCUUUAGUGGUGGACUUAAUCAGUGCACAAGAAUGUGUACUCGAUCCCUAAGUCCUUUACUUGACUCACACAUCCAUGUGAACAAGUAAUUAGUCUUAAUUUUCCAAAACUUGAAAGUUCUCAUUCAUCAUGCUAUACAACUUGCAUGAUUCCAAGUUCCGGUCCAAUUGAAACUUGGGUGAUGAGAAUCUUUCCUUAUUUGGUAAAUUUAGACAUUACCACAAAUGAAAGAAUCAAUUUCAUAUUUCCACUCUUGCUCUUAAUGGAAUCAUAUAAGCAACAAUUUUUCCUCAAAUGCCAUUGUAAGGAUAUUUUAAAAUAAAUAAAAAAAAAAAAAAAAAAUUUUCUUUUAUUUUAAAACUUUGCGGAAAAACUUAUCCUUACAAUCCAUAUGAAAACUUGUUGUUAUCUAUUCCUAAGCAAUAUCUCAUAACUCCUAAGAAGUAGCUCAAGAAUCCGAUCUUCAAACUAUGCGAUAGAAAUCCAUCUACGCCAUCAGAUUCAGCAUAUUCUUUCUUUAAGUUUCUUCACUUUUCUUUGAUUCUUAAAACAUCACCAUGUGACCCAGUCACAUCAUGUAUCAAGAAUCUCAGAAUAGAAACUUAACAGAGUUAGAUAGUGGACUUUACCUGAAGUAGAGUCAAACUUAUUGACUUUAACAUCCUUAGGUAAAUUUGGCAGCUUCGCAACCAAUGCCCCUUCCUUUGGCAAUAUAAACAUAUGGACCCUUUGAUAAUGGUACACGAGACUAUCACAGACUUAGCUUUUCUCUUUACCAUUUGGUCAACCGAGUUGACUAUGGCCGAUCCCUUUCCAUUGGGAAGAGAAUGCUUUACUGGAUAUCCAAUGUCAUCAUUGUCAAUGUCCAUAAAGUUUUAGGAAGUUGAUCUUAGCAAAUAGAUAAGAUCAUUAAGGGUCUUGUCAUAGUCUGUUUCAUAGGUGUCCCAAAGGAACUCACUAUGUGACUUAGAAAGUGGUUGAACCACCAACUUUCUCAAGACUUUGACACCCAACUCUCCCGGCUUGUCAAUAUGUGACUACAUCUCCAAGAUGUGACCACACCUAGACCUUGCCUUGCCAAUAGGGCCUGAGUGACCUUAAACUUUUCAAGAACUUGUGGGUUAGGGAGAAUAAUUUGAAGAGGUGAAGAAGUAUGAUAUCCAUGGGACAUCAUCUUCAUUAGGAAACCUUGUUUCAAGAGAUUUGGGAAGAUCAUAGGUGUCUAAACCAGACAUCUUUUGGGAGAUAUUCAAGAUAGUUGAUUUAAAGUCCUUAAUAU